rnacentral:lncRNA from 1 species
CACAAAUUUGUACAAAGACAUAUAUGCUAUAUUCCGCAGCAACAUAGGGCUCCUUGACAAACGCUAUCGAAAGUGAUACCCUUUUGUGCACAACUCUGAAUACAUUCUUGAGGAUGAUCUGGAUACAAAUCAGGUCAUUUCUCACAGUCUUGUGGCGAAGGAGCGUCAUUUGAUAGUGUAUUUCUGGUAAGAAAUCAAUGAGGGUUGUCCUAAUUGAAAAUCGAAUCGAAAUCAUUCCAAAUUGAAUGCGUCAAUCGAUUGGUUAAUGGCCCAAUGAAUUGAUUAAUCGAGUCUUUCUUGAUUUUAAACGUCCAUCAUCAAUUAUGGGAUUUGAUUACUUUGAAGCAUGCAUUUAGCUUGGAUUUGAUUUGUCUGUGCGUCAAGCUCUUCCAAUCAAUUUCUUUAAGGUGUCAAUCAAAUGGACUUACCUUAGUUCCUCUUUGGUGCAUUUUAGACUGUAUGCCGGGUUUUGUGAUUUUUCUACACCCCACUUCAUAUUUAUUUAUACCUCAUUUCCAUGAAACACUUAGAAACUCCUCUUUUUGGUUAGUGGACAUUAUUUAUCGAGAUGCGCAAAAUUAAAAUCAUUAUUUUUAAAGAUUAAUCGAUUUUUUUUAGAUCAUUACAACCAUAAAACAAUGUACUACCUCAAAUAUCAAAAGCUAAAUGGACGAUGCAUUCUAAAACUCAAUUUUUUAUGUAUUUAUUUUAAACUUAUUUUGAUAGUAUCCAUAAAGAUAGUAUUUGUACAUUAACUUGUACAAAGACAUGUAUAUGCUAUAUUCCGCAGCAACAUAGGGCUCCUUGACAAGCGCUACCGAAAGUGAUACCCUUUUGUGCACAACUCUGAAUACAUUGUUGAGGAUGAUCUGGACACAAAUCAGGUCGUUUCUCACAGUCUUGUGGCGAAGGAGCGUCAUUUAAUCUUUCUUUUGUUCCAACCACUUUGUAUGUGCCUACAAUUAUAUAAAAAAUUAUAGAAUCAAAACGGAUGCCUUGAAUCAAUUAUACGAACAAUUAUUUUACAUCAAAAUUUAAAUCAAAUUAACAUAGAAAAAUAACAUAUAAACUUAAGCAUACCUUGAAUCAAAACGGAAACAAUGCACACAAUUGCAAUGAAAAGACACAUAUGGUUGAUACGGGUCGCCAUGUUUUCAGUUUUCAAUGAAAAUCGACCAACAACUAGGGACUAUUUAUUGAGACAAAUGGAAAUAGUUUUGGAAAUGAAUAAACAAAAAGUUAAAUGUGUAUAUAAUAUCUUAAUAGUUUCUUUUGGUCAAAAAGAAAUAUUUUAUGAUUUCAUUUUUCUUAGUUUUAAUUUUUAAUGAUAAAUUAAUGCAUUAAUUUGGUAAAAAAAUAAUAAUAAAUUCAUUCAAUUUUAACAUAAAAUAUAAUUUCUCCCGUCCUUUUUUAAAAGUUAAUUGAGUCAUAUUGCAUUUCGUUCAUAUAUUAAACCAAAUAUAAUAAAAAAAAUCAAAUACAUUAAAUGUUGCUGAUUCUAAUAUCUCUUGCAAAAAAAUAUUCAUUGUACCAAAAAAUUAUUUUCAUUUUUAAUAGAUUUAAUCUAUUGAUUAAUUUGAGUUAUUUAGUGUAACUUGUCAAAAUUUAAAUUUGUAAAAAAUGAGUUAAAAAUAAAAUAAUUUAUUUUGAAUUUAAUUAAUAUGCAUUAUCAGUGUAAAAUAGUUUUAUAUUAUCAUCCAAUAAAAUUAACAAUUUAUCAUAUAAUUAAAAUGAUUUAAAAUUUAAAUGUGAUUUGAUGUAAUAUACGUCGGUGAUUGAUAUUGUAUAAUUAUACCAUAUUGACGAUACAUAUUCUAUUUUCUCAUUUAUUAAUUUAAAAUUGGUUUAAAAUUUUAAUUUAUUUUAAAAUAAAAUAAAGUGGAAUUAUAAAAUUAUAUUGUUUGAUUGGUGAAAAAAUAUUAAUAUUUAACUAGAUUCAAAGAUACUAGACCGUUCACAUUUAAUAAAUUCAGUCAAAUGCUUAGGAAAAAAUCAGUCUAAUUUUCAUUUAGUGACUUAUUAAAUCAUGUUCAAAAAUCAAUAAUAUAUUUGACCAAAAAGCUCAGUAAAACGUUAAAGUAUUCCGGAUAUGCAUCUUCAGAAUAUUUUGGAGGUUAAAUCGCGUCAGAUCCUUCUCCUUCCCCAUUUAUCAUUUUACUCAAACUCAACUUCAAACUCUCUCAACUUUUUUUCUCUACACCAAGUCAAAACUCAAUCAACAAGGCUCAAGGGAACUUCAAUCAACAUCUGUAACAUCAAAAACAACAUUAGAAACAUCAAUUUUGUAUGUUUUUUGAGUUUCUGUGUAAAUGAGUAAAAAUCAUUGAUUAAGGUUAGAAAUGAGUAAAAAUAUCAUUUAAGAUAAUUUAGACAUAGUGUAUUAGACGUUGGUUGGCUGAAAAGGAUGAUCAAAGCAUAUUUUUGGAACUUCAUGGGGUACAUUGACGCCAUUAACGCAACUUCUAGGGUUGCAUAAAAUUCCAGAGAUGAAUCUCCAGAAUUUUUCAGUGAUUUAGUUUCCCAGAUUUCGAUGGAAUUUUCUCAGUACUUUUUUUUUUUAUUUUCUUGCUUGUGGUGUUGUUUGUCUCACUAAUUUUCUGCUUUACUUUAACUUACAUGCAUAAUGGAUGAUAAACAUGAUAGACUGAGACACGAAAGGGUUGCUCAACACACAUCAAUGCAGCGGGAUAAAAGUCAGCAGGUUUCGGAGGCUCCUAGUCCCUCUGGUCAUGCAUAAUCAUCUACUUAUGGGGCUCGUGCUACUCCUCAUGUCACUCUAUCUUCUUCUUCCCGUAGGAGACAUGAUUUACCAUCUGACGCAUCACUCCCUCCAUCCUUCCGCAGGCACCAGAUACCUGAUUCACCAGUGCCACCUCCUGAUGUAGAUGCUUCUAAGUUUGUGUCACCUCUUACUCCUGAUGUUGCUGAUCCAGUGCCACCUCUAGUGGGUCUGUUGCGGGUGCUGAGUUAGAGGCAUUUGGAGGAGGCCUUUUUGAUUUGUCAUUACUGCCUUUGUACUCGGACCAUAUUCCCAAACAUAUCUGGGAAGGAGAGGUAACAUUAGUUGAAUUCAUUCUUUUUUAUUUAUUUAUGUUAAUUUUAAUUGACAACUGUCUGACAUUAAUUUUUUUUCAUGAGCGUGAUCUGCAAAAGUUUAUUAACCACAUGCAAAAGAUUAUUGGCUUGCCUCAUCCGAAUGAGGAUUGGUUUGAGGGGUUUUGUCCUUAUUUGGCAUGCAGGACCUGCGCAUGACCGAUUAUACUACGGUAAACCAUGGGAUGCUUAAUGCAUCCGUGGAGAGAUGGAACUCAGAGACCUCAUCAUUUCCUCUCCCGCUUGAUGAGAUGACUAUCACACUCGACGAUGUCUCGUAUUUGGAACAUAUUUCGAUUGAGGGGAGAAUCCUAGAUCAUGGGAGGACUACCAAAGAUGAGACACAUUAGAAGAUGGUAGACUAUCUAGGGGCUAACCCAGGGGAGGCGAAUGAGGAGUUGGAUAGGACCCGGGGAGCUCAUGCUAGGUUUGAAUACUUGAAGAAGAUAUAUACAUAUGAGCUACAUAGAGCAUAUCAAGCCACAGGUGAUGACGAGCAAAUGACGCUCCACAUAACGCAUGCUAUGAGAGCAUACCUGCUAUAUUUGGUUGGCACUGCCAUUUUUUUGAACAUGAGUGCCACUUAUACAGAUGUCGUCUACCUACUGUACUUCCUGGAUUUCGAGCGGAUCCAUGAGUAUAAUUGAGGGCCCACUUGUUUGGUAUACCUGUAGUCGAAGUUGAGAGAGAGUUGUAUGUGGAAGACGAAGCAGGUCACAAUUAUCGUCACACUAUUGACAAUAAUAAUUAUUGGUAUUUUAAUAUUUCUUUGUCAUUUUCAUUUCAUCUUUGCAAGGUCAUUAUUGAUUUAUUCGUGUGAUCAAAACUUUUCAUUUCAGGCUUGAAUCCUCCAACACUUCCCGCGCAUCUCUGAUAGAGCGAGUGUUAAGAUUUACACUGAGAAUAUGCCACGUGCUACUGCUUUUUCCACGCUUAUAGGGAGCCAAGCGAUUGAGUCUUUCAAAAUGUAUCUUGACUAUUUGGUUGUUAGGGAAAUACACUUCAACAACUAUGUCGAUCACUGUGAGAUGCAACCAUUUGACGAGAUAAUGCUAUACUCUAGAUGGUUGGCCUGCGGAUUAUGUCUCACUUCUUCUCAUCUGCCCGAGUGCGUCAUGUGGUAGUUUGACUACACUCAGACAAUUCCUAGACACCUUGUUGUCUCUGUUCCUUCUGCUUUGACACGUAGACAGAUAGAUGACGUGUUUGAUGAUUAUGAGAGUCAUCUGAUACCGGAGGAGGCACAUAGUAUCAUAGCCGUGAAUGACUAGAGCUACGUCGAAGGAUAUAUCAGAUGGUUCUUUAGGCUGUCACAUCCGUACAUGGUGCAUGCUGCUUUAGGAGACCCGUCUAGGCCAACUCAUCAGGAGAUACUAGAGGAGGACUAGACACAGUUAGAUUAUGUUGAGGAUGUCUCGCUUAGAUGUCAUUGAAUUAUGGAGAUUACGCAGGCAGACAUUGACAUAGGUAUCUUUCCUGAUGGUUCUUAUGUGAAACAGGUCCUAGAUGCCAUCAUGACGGAGGCACAUGGGGCAUUGAUGUACCAGAGAUAACGUCAAAGGAUCGAGGGAUUGAUGGUCGAGGAGGCAGAGCUGGAAGAGGAGGCAAAUGCGACGUAGUCAGACAUACACAAUAGUACAUUAGUAUAUAGUAGUAAUAAUACUACUAUGAAUUGUAUUUUAUUUUGACAUCAUUCUAUUUUAUCGUUGUUCUCUACUUUUUUGACAUUUAUUGGUCUUUUAUUUAUAUAUGAUAUUUUUGGACCAUCUGUAGUUAUGUACGUCAGUUUUUGUAUAUCACUUGUAUGAUUUAAACCUUCAUAUGAGAAAACAUAAACAAAACAUAGCAUGAACAAUUUUGUUCUGAAAAGUUACGAAGAUGUAUCUCUGUAAAAUAAACGGAGAUGUAUCUCCGUAAAAUAAACAGAGAUGCAUCUCCGGAAUAUUUUAAAUUGUAGAAUGACUUCUGAGUGUGAUCCAUGGUAUACGUUUUAAAUUGUUAUGGAGAUGCAUCUCCGAAAUAUUUUAACGUUUAAUCAGAAUUUGGUGCGUUCAGAGAUGCAUCACCGAAAAUUGGGAGCAUUUUAGAAAAUUUGCAUGGUGGGUAAGAAACAUAUAGGGUGCAUUAAGAAUUCUAAAAAAAAAUUGGGUUUACAUUUUGUAUAACAAUUUGGGCCUGGAGUCCAAUAUCUAAUCUACCCUAGCCCAAGUCAACCGAAAUCCUAACAAUACUCUGAGCUGCUUCGUUACUCUGUCGAUGCUUGAGGCUGGCAUGGCUCAGAUCUUUCAUCUUUCUCUUCAUCGCACCACACAAAAUUCCAUAGUGAUUUUUGGAUAACUUUCCUUCCUCCAUCUUUUCUAACCCUUGAAAGGGUUUAUAACCAACUUGUCUUAUGCUUCUUCUUUUUUUCUUAGUGACCACUUUUGUAAAAGACUUAUUAAUGAAAUGAUUCUAAAAAUGCAUCUCUUAAAAAUGUGACUUUAUUUGAAUAUGCUUCUCUCAAAGAUGUAUAUACUUUUCUCAAAGAUGUGUAUCUAAAAGAUAGACGUUAAAGAACCAACAAUACAUGUAUAGAAAACAAUUACACCGGUAACUCUGAUCAUGAAUAUAAUAGAUUUUUGAGUUAUGAAUUACAUGUAAUACUAAUACCGUAAUUACAAGUUUAGAAUAACAAUCACAUUAUUAACUAUUGAUACGGAAUAAGGGCAUAUGUUUGUUUUAACUUUUAAAAAAAAAUGAAUUUUUAAAAAUGAAUUUUAUAAAACUAUUUUUUAAAAUAUUACAAGUUUUUUUAUAUCUGUUUUUUCUAAAUUAAAAGACUAAUUUAAACAUCUUAUAAUAUAAACAUACAUUAUUGAAGUUUAAAAUAUAGUCGAAAUCGUAAUUUUUUAAAAAGAUGUAUUUCAAAAAUGAAUUUUAUGAAAAACUAUUUGAUAUAACUUCAAAAUGAAGUGAUUUUUUUUGAAAUUUUGAUAUUCAAAAAAAGUUUCAAUAAAAUUAUGAAAUAUCUAAAAUAACAUUUUAAGAAUAACUAUUCAAAUAAAAUUUUAAUUUGAAGCCCUAAUGAAAAAUUUCUUUAUAAAUUUUUUUCACACAAAAUUAUGUUACACUAGAAAAAUCAUUUUAAUAAAAAGCUAAAACAAACGGACUCUAAAUUAGAAAUUAUAGUAUGGAACUGGACUAUUUUUUUUCCAAUACAACAAGUCUAAUAGAUACGUCGUCUUUCAUACAUAAAUCUUAAUUGCCACAGAAAUACGAUCCAACAGAUCUUUAAUGUAAAGUCUCUUGCUGCAAAUCUAACCUAAGCACCUGCCCAUCUGAAGAAAAAAUUAAGAGAACAAUGUGAGAUGAGAUAUUAAUCUCAGUGGAUUCCUAAACUAAACCAUAUAAUCUAUCACUACCCAUCAUGGUAUUCUCUCGUGUCCCAAAAUCAACUAAUAGGAAAAUCUCAUAUUCCUUCAAGGUCAUCUUUCAUCCACAUUCUAAUAUCAACAAUCUAGUACUUAUGAACUUGACAUGAUUACAUGAUAAAUCACCAUACCCAUAAAUCAGAGUAUCAUAGUAAAUCACAUAUUCCUCUAUUGGCUAGACCAGAACAAAUCAUAUUCCCUUUACUUACUCACUAUGAUAGAUGACAUGUUUUUGUGAUGGGUACUAGGUCAAAUCAUAUGACAUAUGACUGAAUCAAUGAAUAAAUCACAUAUCCGUAUGACCAAAUUACCAAGAUAAAUCACAUAUCCUCCCAUGAAUAAAUCACAUGUCCAUCAUUGAGAAUAUCAUAAUAGAUCAUAUAUUGCUCUACUAGGAGAAUCGGGAAUCAUCGAAUAUCAUUGAGUUAAAUAUUGUGAUAAAUCACAUAUUCUUCAUUCAAGUCGCUAGGAUAAGUCACAUAUCCACAUGAAUCAGAACAUCGAUAUAAAUCACGUACCCUCCCAUGGAUAUGUUACAUAUUUGCCACUAGCAAUAAUUGAAAUGCGAUGUCACAAAUGGAUGAAGAGGAUGAAUAUAUGGGUGAUUGACUAGAAGAUAUGAUUUAUGAUAUUGGAUAAUCAUCUUAUAUGAAAGCCCAUAGUUACGAUAUUUUAUAUAGUGAAAAAGAUGUGCCUUUAUAUAAGGGGUGCACCCGUUUUACACGAUUGUCUGAAUUUUUGAAAUUAUUUAAUCUGAAGGAAAAAUAUGGAUGGUCGGAUACAAGUUUCACAUAAUUGCUUGAUUUUUUGAAACAAAUGCUACCAUAAGAUAACAAUUUGUCGGAUCGUUAUUAUGAGGCCAAAAAGAUAUUGUGUCCAAUGGGUUUGGAGUAUGUCAAAAUACAUGCAUACCCUAAUGAUUGCGUAUUAUACAAGAAAGAGUAUGAAAAUUUGGAUCAAUGUCCAAAAUAUGGUGAGUCGCGCUACAAGUUGAAGAACGACAAUGGUGAUGACAAUGACAACGUUAGUAAGAAGCGUCCUCCUGCUAAAGUGUUAUGGUACUUGCCAAUAAUUUCAAUUUUAAAGAUACUUUUUGCUAAUGCGGAUGAUGCAAAGAAUAUUAGAUGGCAUGCAGAUGAAAUAAAAUGUCAUAGAAACAUUCGCCAUGUAGUCGAUUCUUUGCAAUAGAAGAAAAUUGAUUCAUUAUUUUUGGAUUUUGGCCUUGAGCCAAGAAACCUUAAGCUUGGGCUUGCCACAAAUAGAAUGAACCUCUUUGGUAAUCUGAGUACUAACCAUUCUUCAUGACCUGUUCUUCUCAUGAUUUAUAACCUAUCUUCUUGGUUGAGCAUGAAGCGCAAGCAUAUGGUGUUAAGUAUGAUGAUUUCUAAACCAAGACAACCUGGAAACGACAUAGAUGUUUAUCUAAGUCCAUUAAUUGAGGAUUUAAAUCUUUUGUAUGAUAAAGGUGUUGACAUUGAUGAUGCAUAUUAUGUUGAAAAGUUUGAGAUGCAUGCAACGUUAUUUUCCACAAUCAACGACUUUCUUGCAUAUGGUAAUUUGGAUGGAUAUAGUGUCAAAGGACAUAAAGCAGGUCCUAUAUGUGAAUAUAAUACAUGUGUUUCACCAGCUUGAGUCUGAAAAAAGACCGUUUACAUUGAGUAUCAGAAAUUUAUAAAACCCAAUCAUCCUUAUCAUAGAUUGCUGAAGGCUUUUAAUGAGGAUGUUUAAAUAUUAAGCCAAUGGAUCGGGAUGUAGCACUUGAAGCACAUUUCUAUAUAUUGAACAAUCUUAAUGUAGUUGAACCUUACAUAGCCAAUCACAAAACAGUUAUAAAGAAAAAACAUCCCGAAUGAAUGACAAGUGGUUGUUGACACGACAUAACAAGUAAUUCAUAAGUUGGUUUAAUAAGAGGAUUUCUAAUGAUGAUGGUGCAUCAAAGACAAAUAAAUGGUUGUCGUACAUGCCAAAAUUUACUUUGAUAACUUGGACAACAUAUGAUAUUUCUAAUUAUUCCUUUUAUGCAAAAGCAAAAGAUGAUCUUAGUACAAUGCAAAAUAGUAGGGUUAUGGUUGAGGCCGAAUCCAUGUAUUUCUCUAGUUCAAAAGAUAAGAAUCCUAUUUUGGCAACCACCAUAUUUGAUGGUAGCAUUGCAUUAUGGUAGUACUUGAAGCACAUUUCUAUAUAUUGAAUAAUCUUAAUGUAUUUGAACCUUACAUAGCUAAUCACAAAACAAUUAUAAAGAAAAAAUAUCCCGAAUGAAUGACAAGUGGUUGUUGACACGACAUAACAAGGAAUUCAUAAGUUGGUUUAAUAAGAGGAUUUCUAAUGAUGAUGGUGCAUCUGAGACAAGUAAAUGGUUGUCGUACAUGCCAAAAUUUACUUUGAUAACUUGGACAACAUACGACAUUUCUAAUUAUUCCUUUUAUGCAAAAGCAAAAGAUGAUCGUAGUACAAUGCAAAAUAGUAGGGUUAUGGUUGAGGCUGAAUCCAUGUAUUUCUCUAGUUCAAAAGAUAAGAAUCCUAUUUUGGAAACCACCACAUUUUAUGGCAUCAUUGAGGAUAUUUUGGAGAUUGAUUAUGUUAUUUUUAAAGCUCCUUUAUUUAAAUGCAAUUGGGUUCCCAAUAACAAUGAUGUACAAACUGCUGAGUUAGAAUUCAUACGGAUUGACCUUGACAUGACAACUUAUAACACCAAACCAUUGAUCAUGGCUACUCAAGAAAAAUAAGUUUUUUUAUGUGACACUUGCAAAAUUAUCAAGAACAUGGUGAAUUGUUCUCAAAGGAAAACACAUUUCUCAUAGCGAUGAUGAAAAUUUUCAUAUUCCUUCCACUCCUUCCUAUACAACACAAGUGCCUACUUCAUAUGAAUAAGUUGAUAGAGAUGAUGUACAUAUUAUUCGUAACAAUCAUCAAGAAGGCAUACAGGAAAAGUAACAAGUAAUUAUUUUAUAUUCUUCAUUCAUAAUUUAUUGUAUGUUAUAAUUUCAAAUUAUGUUAUUUUCUAACAACUAUUAUUAUUUGAAAUUAUAGGUGUUUAAAGUCAAGACACCAAGAGACAAGACAAUAAGAUAGUAUUAUUUGAUGUAAUGAUGUGUACAUUAUAAGUUGUUUUGUGCCAUUUUGGUUUUGAUGUAAUAUAUAAUUUUUGGUUUCUAAUGGAAUUGCGUCAUUGAUGUAAUUUAAUGUUUGAUCUAAUUCAAUUCACAAAUGGGUGCAUUGAUGUUUUUGGUAUGAUAUGGUUCGGAAAUAUUCAGGUUCAAAAUUUGAGAAUACUGUAAAAUUGAAAAAUAUAUAUUUAAAAAACAAAUAAUAUCACAAUAGUUUUUAAUUCAAGCGUUGUUCUAAGCAGAGCGCUAUCGGGAUAAUAAAAUGCACGAAUGUCGUUGUAGGGAUUCGAACCCAUGACCUAUAAAUGAUUUCACAACGGUUAUUUUCUUUACCCGUUGUUAUAAGUAGCACACUACCUAACUUAUAACCACGGUCACCCGCAUGUUAUGGAAACCAACAUACAUACAAUUACACACUACCUAACAGCGAACGUGAAAUCGUCAUUAUAUGUGCUUUGUAACCGCCAUUAUAUGUGUUUUAUGUAGUAGUGAGUCAUGUUAACACAUCAUUCAAACAUAAUUAACUGAGCAUAACAGUACUCCAAACAUCCACAAAAGUCGUAAGAAUCAAAAUCUGCAAUUUAACAUUAUCAAAACAAACAUCUGCUUACUGUAGACUCAUGAUGGGUUACCCGUCAUGAUUGUGAUACCUGUCACUAACCUCAACUCUUUAGAACAUCACUCAUGUGACGACCGACUUGAAGACAAGCUUGGGCAGCAUGACGGGUUACCUGUCACUAGCGUAACCCCCGUCAGCAUCCCGAAACCUGCAGAAUUUUGUCUUCUUUAAUGGAGUUCACUGCAGAACUCCUAUUUCUCAUCCCAGACAUACAAAUCGACCAUAAAAUGUUACGUAUAUAUUAUAUAUUCAUCAAUAACAUCCACUUGCAUCAAAUUAACACUUUUAAUUCAUGGUUUUCAUAAAAUCAUAUUAUUUCCAAAGUCUUCAAAAUAACAACAAUGGUAAAUACAUGUUAACUCCUCAAAAAAGAAUUUGUCACACAUCAUAGCAUACGAAUUUCAUCACCAAUCACCAUCACAUACAGCAAAUCAAUUACAAAUAACAGAAUUAUGUAAAAAUUUCAAAGCCUAUUGGAGGUUAAGGACUUCUCAAUUCUACCCCUCAUGCAUAUACCCAUCAUUGAGAUAGUUCUUUCCCUUACCUGGUUAUCCUAGCAACAGUGCAAAAAUUCUGAUUUUUAUUAUCUAAACUUCUCCAAGUUCUAAGCUUUCUCUUGCACUUUCUCUAAAUUAUGGUUAUGCAUACUGACAAAACUCCAAAAAACUAGGUUAUGCUCUAAUUCAUAUCAUUAUGGUAAAUAAUAUUAAACUCAUAAUUUUGGUCCAACUCUUAUUCCUCUUACUCCCUCAUCUCUUCUAUUCUUCAUAAAUCAUAUUUUGGCCCCAAACUCUCUAUUUUCUAUUAAAUUAAACAAAUCUAAUAAAAUAUUAUUAUUUUAAUUAUUAAAACAACACUAAUAAUUUACUCAAACUCUACUAGCCUCUAAAUACUCUCCACACUCGCACCUCAAUGUUAUACCCACCCACACCUUAUUUAUUUAAUUAAUAUUAACCAAAUAAUCAAAUAAAUACAUAAAAAUGUUAAUAAAUCAUAUAAUUCAAUAAAUCAAAAAUUGGGGUGUUACACAAACGAUGUCCUCUUUGACCUAGUCUAAAAUAGUUCCCUCAACAUAUUUCAGGAAAUGUGGAUAUAUAGCACACACCCUUCUGAAAUGUAUUAUGAAUUCAACAUAUAAUUCUUCUAUGGAAGAAUUUAUUAUACCAUUUGAUCAGAAAAAUAACAAGUGUACUAUUUUUCCUUUUGUAGUAAUAAAGGGGAAAUUCCCCAAAUGUCGAUCUCAAGGACUGCAAGUGAAUAUCGAGUUCAAAUCAUCGUUCAAUUAAACAAAAACUAGUGUUCGGGUUUUUGAAUUCAAACUUAUAAAGUAAAGGAAAAUAAAAUAAUACUGUAAAAUAAGGGUUUGCAAGGGAAGAGGGACAAUGUCAGGGAAGGUGUAUAAUUUGCCCAUGUUACAAUUCUGAGUCACUAUUGCAUAAACAAAUAUCAAUUACUACCAAUUCUCAAGGGUAUUUUCUCUGAAGCCCUUGGUGAGAAACCCUUUAAUCAUUCAACCCUAAUUUCUAUGUCCAUAGGAAAUUAUCGGUGAAAUUAAGCCUUAUUAUAUAAAGAAUGUUGUGGUUCAUACAGGGUUUCCCUAGUCCUAGGUGAUAUCUAUUGCAGAGUAAUCUUAUGAAAACCUUAUCAAUGAUGGUCCAACCUAAUUGAUAACCAUACAACAAUCUCGAUUGAUCCGAAAGAGAAAGCAUUAAACACAUCAAAAGAUUACCGUUAAAAUAAUAUUAUCAAUGCAAUCGUAAACUCAAAGCCAUUACAGAUCUAAAUCAGGGACACCCCCUAUCAUUUGAGGGUUUAGCUACUUAUAUUGUUCAAAACAGAUUGAAGAUAAAAUAUACACAUUACAAGUAAUUGGAUGACUUGGAUCUUCAAUUGCUUCCGCUCAUGAAAAUCUUCCGCUCUUCGAAUUCCUUGAUCUCUGUAAAUCUCGACUGUAUGAUAAUUCUCUAUGCUUUGUGUUCUCCUCUUUCCAAAGUGUCUUAUUCUCUCGUAGAAACUAUCCUAAAAUAGUGAAAAAUCUCUUGGAAAUGGUUGGAAAUCCUCAAAACGUCCCUGCUGCUCAAGCCCGCGUAAAAAGCCAAAAAAAUGGAAUAUUUUGUGCCUGGGCUAACAUGGGUGGCCGUGUCAGCUCCCUGCCUUAUCCAUCUCUCUUGACAUGUCCCAAGUAACCUGACACGGGUCGUGUCAGCUGAUACGGGUGGCCAUGUCAGGGUCCUGUCUUGGCUAUUUCUUGUUCUUAAUUUUUCUUCCUCCUGACACAGACCGUGUCAAAUGACACGAGUGGCUAUGUCAGGCCUCUUAUACUGAAAAAUAUCCUUUCCUUGAACGCCUGACCCUUCCAGUUUCUUGCAUUGUGUCUGUUGGAUCUUCUACGUGGACCUGGAGGGCAUAAACAUAGACAACCAAAGCAUAAAAUCCCGAAAACACAAAAUAAAAUAAAAUAUUUAUAAAAUGCUUAAAUAACUUACGAAAAUGAAAACUAACUCAAAAGGUACCAUAAUGCGCACAAAGUAUUCCAGAAUCCUUGGUUUCUUGUCGAAUAAGUAAUGAAAACAUAGUGAAAAUGGUGACCGAUCACAACCCCAAACUUAGCUCAUUGCUUGUGAUCAAGUAAUGUUCUACACGACAAAGUGUGUCACUUCCCAAAAUUGAAUUCUUACCACAAUACUGCUCAGAUAUUUCUCCAACGCCUUCAUUCUCCCUUUCAUAGUCCUUACUUUUCCUAAUGAGUUUUUAGCUACACUUCCAUAUUGAUGUAUCUCUUCACUUGUCAGCUUAUAUCACACUCUCACCAAGUCUCUUCGGGUUAAAGUGUUUACACUAACAUUUCAGAAUAUGCAAUAUCAACUCAUAAAUUUGAAUAGUUUCUCCUUUCGUAUAAAUUAUACACAACACACACUUUUUGAGGUCUUUUGGGUUGUAACAGGGCUUGAGUUACGGCGGGGUAAAUACAAACAAAAAGGAAAAUAAGUGGUUUGGGUUCAGAGUCAAUGUCAUUAUUCUUUUCACUAUGUUUGUUCUACAUCUCAUUUCCAAUUAUUUUCUUUUUCAGUUUGUAUUGCUCAGUUCUUUUUUUUUCUCUUCUCUUUUUUUUUUUUUAAAACUGAGUGUUUCUCAUUCGACGAGUGCUUUUCUUGUACCAUCGAAGAAUUUUUUUCCUGUUGUUUUCCUUUUUGUUUCGAUGGUUAUUUUUCUAAAAAAAAAUCCGCACUCACCUUACUUUCAGAUAAUUAUGGGUGUAAGACCCCAAUUUGGACCCUAAGAUCCCUCAUGCUAUCUCAUCAUAUGCAUUAGCAUUAGGAUCACAACUUGACAUCCUCCUUACCCCUAAUUCAUUAGAGUUUGCAUUAUGAAAGAUCAUCAAGCACCAUGUGAUUGUAUCAUAUUUUGUUUUCUUAUCAUUUUCUAACCAAAAUACCAAAAAAUAUGUAUUUGUAUAGUUUAACUCUUUUGUAGGUAGUGCACAUGCUCAUCUAUGCUCUGUCAAGCUUACAUCUAGAGUUUAAGACCCUCAAUGUAAGGAGCUCAAUCAAGAUUUGAUUUACUAUGGCUCAAAGUAUCAUAUAUGAAUCCCCAUGAUCUUCACAUUUUAUUUUGAUCAAGAAACCAUCAAGAGUUUGGAGUUGGUUUACCUUGGAAACCCUAAGUCAUAUGGGUAUCUUGUAUGACUUCUUCAACAAGUUUCUUCACCAAUCGAUCAAAUAUUUCAAAGUAUGCUUCAAAUUUCAUCAUCUUAUACAUAUAUUAUCCUCCAAUGAGUCCCAAAAGUAAAGAUAAGGUCAAGCUAGCAAGUUGGUUCAUGGUGGUUGACCCUAUCUUCUACAAUCAAAACUAGGGGUCCCUAGACCCUAUCUUCUACAAUUUUUGUCAUAUGAAAAUUAUUCCAAGAUAAAAGUUACUAGAAAUGACAUUCUAAACAACUUUCAUGUUUAGGUCUAAAGCUAGUUUUGCUUGAAAAGUCAUUUUUUAUGGUGAAAGAUUAUAGGUCAUUUUGUCUAAACCCUAAUUUGGAGGCCAACUUCCCAAGAUCAUAACUUACUCAAUUUUUAUGAGAUGAAACCCAUUCAAGUUGCAUGAUCAAAUUAAAGAUGUAUAAUUCAACUUUUAUGUUUGGAGUAAUAGAAAUUUCAAAUUUUAAAUGCAUGUGAUAUGAGGAGAAAUUAUAGGUCAUUUUGGACCAAUACCAUUGAACAAGUGAUUUUCCUCAACUUCUAAAAUGCAUAACUCUUUCAUACUAAAUACAAAUGAGGUCAAAUUUGUGACUAAUUUUAAGGACUCUGAGAGAGUUACAACUUUGACGAAGGAACUUUUCUCAUUUGAAGUCCAUAGAAAAAGUUACCCAAGGUGGAAGAAGUGAACAUAUGGCUUGACACUUAGAAAUUGUUUUGAUAUGUUUGAUUUUCCAAACUUCCACCUCAAAGUUCAUCAUGAUCCAAACUUCAAAUGAAAAAGUGUUCAACAUGAAAGUUGUUCCUCUUGAUCCAACCUUUCCAAAAAGUCUAAUUUCAUCUCAUUUAGACAAAGUAUGAGUGACUUGCGCAUGGCUUAAAGUUGAAUCACCAUCUGGCAUAAUUGAACUUCCAUCUGCUUCCAUACACAAAUGCAUGGCUUGCUAACAUGACUUCAGCAAUGCUCACACAUGAUUUUGGACCUGAAUGAAUCAUUACAUGGUCCUAUCACACGCCCAUGCAUCCAUGCAAAGUGAAGUUGCUAUUUUUGAAAUUUUGAAACAAGUGUGCAAAUAACAAUGCAUUGGCUAUAAAUAAAAGCUCAUUCACUCAGAAUUGAGGACCUUGGCGUGCCAGCUUUGAAUCCCUAACCCUAAACACCUUCAUUCAGAGGAUAACCUUGAGGAUUUCCAUUGGAAAUCGAGUUUGAAUCUCCACUGUUUUGAGAUUCAAAUCUCCAAGAGUCCUGCUUCUUCCUUGAUAAAUUCCACUCCAUCAAGCAUCCAGAGCAAGGCUAAGCAUAAUUGAGAGCAAGAUCGUGGCCAUCUGAACCUGCAGUGAAGGUGAUUUUCUCAAUUUUUCAUCUCUUCGAUUCUCACUCAAUUCUACAUAAUUCUUCUUGAUUUAUAGUUGUCUGAAGUCCUACCAAUGUAGGCAAGAAGAUUGAGUUGCUUUGAGGUCAAAUCGAAGCAACUCAGAUCAUGAUCCUCAAAAUUCAACUCCCAGUAUCUUUCAAUAUACUUGGAGUUAGAUGAAAUUGAGGCCAUAUUCGAGCUCCUGAGCAUUUCUACUUUAAAUUCAUGUCCUCCUUUUUUAUUUUGGUGAUGGUUGAAGGUGGACCAGUCCGGUGAGGUCCACCGGAGAAGAAGAUCGAAGUUGUAGCUCCGGCGGUAUGUUGGCACGCUUCUAAACCACACGAUCCUUCUAAUUUGUUUUAAUUUGGGGUGUCCAAAGUGAUUACCACGCGUGUGGAAUAUUUGACUUGGUAUAUGGUGGAAUGCCCGCUCAGAUCCACUUGAUCAACCACCUCAAUUAAUGAGGGAGACCAAAUGGUCCACAUAUUUUAGCAUUUUCUGAUUUUUAGUUUAAUUGCUUUAUUUUCAUUCAUUCAUAUUAAUUUUAAUAUUGAUCCAAAAAAUAUGAGACUUUCACUUAAAAUUUUCAAAUAAAUUCCUCUUUCAUUUUCUGAAUUAAAAUUAUUUUUUGGAUAAUUAUUAAUAUUUUUCAUGAUUUAAUUGUUUUAGUGGAUAUUUUUAAUUGUUUAAAAAUACUUUUAAGUUUCCAAAAAUGAUGAAAUUUUUUCUCCAAGGUCCUUUGACCUUGUUUGACCUACGAUAAAUCUCAUGGCCAUUUAUUUGGUGUUUUGAUGAGGUUUUAGGAUUUUGACCAACCAUAAUUUAAUUUAAUGCAUUUUUUAAUUGUUUAAUUGCGAAUAAAUUGUGUUGAGCUAUUUGUGUUGACUUGUUGAGUUUGACUAUUGUUGUUGGGUCUUGGUCAAGGUUGAUUUGACUUUGUUUAGUUAAGAUCAUUAAAUUUAGGGGAUUGAUGAAAUGUACAUUUCAUCUCCCAAAAUGAAUGAAUGAUUUUAAUUUGAUAAAAGUCCUCCUUUGACCAAUUUGUGUUGAUUCCAUUUCCCCUCCCUCUUCAUCCCAAUCCUAUUCUAUUCCCACUCAUUUCUUUGACCUAUGAUAUCUCAAUAUCCUAAGGCUAGUUGAUUGCAAAUUCAACAUAAGUAUGGAUGAGUUUAGGUCCACCCCUUUUGCCAUUUUCUUUUAAGUGUGGUAUGUUUUAGGAGUGUGGUUCAUAAUACCAUAUCUCUAACAUGCAUUAACACUAAAAUUUCUAUUAUGUGGAAACUUGGCUUUUUUUUUCCUUCCUUUGGAAGAUGUCUUGGUUCAAGGAUCCAUGCUUGUGAAUAGAGGGUUGAGUGUUCUCCAAAGAAUGACUUGAACAUUGAAAAGCAAAAAAGCAAUACUAACUUCUAAUCAACUAACAUUUAAUUUCAAGCACUUUACUUUUAUGCACUUUAAAUUCAAGUCUUUAUUCAUUUGCCAUUAUUCAUACCAUUUAACUUGUUUAUUUUAAUGUCAUUUUCACUUUGCUCACUUGAGCUUUAUUUUGUGAUUAUAUUGUGAUUGUAUAUAUUUGUUAGUGUAUUGUGUUUGGUUUGGUGGUCUUUUGACCUUAAUGUACAUAAUAACAACAAAAACUCUAAAAAAGAUUUGUGUGGACUCUUGGUUUUGAUCUGAGACAUUGGACUUAGAAUUAGGCAACACUCCCUAUGCAAAAGGACUUGGCCAAUGCUAACUUUUCUAAACCAAGUGCUUGUGAAUUGAAGUUUCAUCUGAAGCAAGUAUUGAGAGUCCAUUUGAGUUCAUCUGCUACAUGGUCUUAUUGAAGCUGUUACUUUGAACCUGUGUCUAAUGCCUAUCUCUGAAUCUUCUGAUGCAUGGAAAAUUAUGAAGAAGAUCAUGAAGUUGCUAAGCUUGGACGUGCCUAUCUUUAUUUGAUGCCUUGCUCUUCACCUUGCUAUUUGUGUAUUGAUAUUGCUUGAUUCAAAAGUCCAAGGGAAAUUUGGGUUUCUAUAUGACAUUCUUAUCUAUUGGACUGCAACCCAUUGGUCAAAUCUUUUCAACUCUUAACUUUUAAAUUCUUCCUUAGGAUUAGUCUUUUCAUCUCCUCCCACUUCUUUAAUUUCAAAUCUCUCGCUCCUUUUAAAAAUCUUCUUUGCUUGUGUUUUCUAAACCUUGACUUUAUUGCAAAUUAGAAACUUUGGGCUUAUGCCAUUGCAUUUUUAAAACUUAUUUUUCUUAAUCAAACUUGUAAAUGAAUCUAACUAUAUUGACUUAAAAUUUCAAAAAAAUACAAAAAGAACUAACACUCAUUCAAACCUUUUUAGGCCUUUUGUGCCUUUAUUAAACUUAAUUUUUUGUUAAAAGCAAUGCACUCACUUUGAAAUUGAUACCACGAACUACGAGGUUUUGAUCCCUCAUCUUUAUGUUGGUACGUAAGCACAAGUUCGAAGGUCUUGUCAAACACAAAAAUAUAAUCAAUGAAUCCUUUUCUAAUCCCUCCACUCUAUUUAUUGCAAACAUCAUUUUGUACAAAAAUACAUAUGCAUACAAAAAGGACUCCCUAGAAGUACCUAGGACACUUUGAGUGCUAACACCUUCCCUCUGUGUAACCAACCCCCUUACCUGUAAUCUAUGGCAUUUUAUUAGUUUUGAUUUGAAAACUUCUUAUCUAUGGGUUUUGUUUGUACUUUUCCCUUUUCCCUUUGAAACAAUAAAAGCACGGUGGGGACUCUGGUUUUGUGCUUGGUGAUCUCUGAGUGGUGAGAUAAGUUUUAACCCGAACUUGAGUGCAAUUAAGAUAGGAAGAUGGUAUAAUCAUGUUCGACUUAUGUGGAGUAGUCCUUAACAAGUUGGCUUGAGACCCAUCUACUCAGUGGAGACCCUUUUGGAGUUAUGAUGUCACACAAGUUAUUUGUGGUUAGGCAUUACUUUCUCUGAUUUGGGGUCCGAGAAGUUGAGGACCAUAGAACAUUUAACCCCUCUUGGCCUAUUUAGGACGUAGUGCAGAGACUGUUCAAGUGUAGACUUGAUAACAGUUGUUACACGAUACUACACUCAGACGAGUUUCUCUUUAGAACAUUAUGGGUUGAUGAGUCAGUCAUCCUAACCUGUAAUAUCCGAUAGAUGGAAUGAAGACUCUGGGAACUUUUUAGAACAUGAUCUACAGGUUUUAUCCUCAGUACACUCCUUUGGGAUGGUUCUUAACCAGGCUCCAUGCUUGUGACUCACAACAAACCCUUGAUUCUUGGUUGAUCCAAUCAAGUCUUGUCAAUAUCAAUGGAACUUGGGUGUUGAUAAGGUGAAAACCAUAAUCCAGCAAAAUGGAUGAUUGAUCUUGACAAUGAAUUGAUUCAUCCAUUGACCUUUGUUUGUUUGCCUUGUGUGUGAUCCGUUAUUUGUGACUGUUGCAUUCAUGCAUUCAUGCGCAUCAUAACAUUAAUCACACGAAAAAUAACAUCAAGGAACUGAGGUUUUAUUUGCAAAUAUUUUCAGUCCAUGGAUUGUGGACGAAGGAACACUAAAAAGUACAUUUUCAGAUGUCCAGAUUUGAAAGAGUUAAGGAAGCUAUCAUCUUUUGUAUUGGAUCCCUUGGACAUCAAACAAUGUCAUGUGAAGCUUCUAUAUGUGUUAUCUGUUGAUGUGGUCGAAGGACUCUUAAGUGUUUUGGUUCAGUUAUAUGAUCCUCUCUACCAUUACUUCACUUUUCCUGAUUAUUAGCUUGUGCCUACGUUGGAGAAGUAUGUCCAUCUCUUGGGAAUACCUGUUUCUGACAAAGUGCCUUUUAGUGGAUUGGAAGAGAUUCCCAGAUAUCAUAUUAUAGCUAAAACUCUUCAUCUGAAGAAGUCUGAGAUUUAGGCUCAUUGGGUGAAGAAAGGAGCAAAUGUUUGGAUUGACUUCUGAGUUCCUCAUCAAGGAAGCUACUACCUUUGCUCAAGCUGGUAGCAUGGAUGCUUUUGAAGCUAUCUUUGUGUUGCUCAUCUAUGGCUUAUCUUUGUUCCAUAACAUUGACAGUUUUGUUGAUGUUAAUGCCAUUAGAAUCUUCUUGAUUGGGAAUCAUGUGCCUACUUUGUUGGGUGAUAUGUAUUUCUCUUUGCAUUUAAGGAAUUCUAAGGGUGGUGGAACUAUUUUCUGUUGUGUUCCUCUUCUGUACAAGUGGUUUAUUUUGCACUUGCCUCAGACACCUGCUUUUGUGGAGAACAAAUAAUGUCUACGGUGGUCUCAAAGACUUAUGUCUCUCACUAAUGAUGAUAUCGUUUGGUAUGACUCUUCAUUGGGUAGUUUGGAGAUUAUUGAUAGUUGUGGUGAAUUCUCUAAUGUGCCUCUCGGUGGUUUAAUCCAACAAUAACACCAAGAACCUGAAAUACAUGCAGCAAAUGAUACCUAACAGUAAAAUCAAACCAAAUGUAAAAUAGUAAAAAAUGGGAAAUAAUAAAAUAAAAUAAAAAACAUAAAACAAAAAGCAUAAUAAAACCUCCCCUACAAUUGAACUAAACAGUUGGCCUAAAUGUUUUAGAACAAGAUAGAAGGAGGGUGACUCACAGUGCCUUACUGAGGAGGCUGGGGAGGAAAGUGCAACAUCAAUUGUCACAUCAUCAGGUUCAUCUCAUCCCAAACCGCCCCUUGCCGAGCCUUCUCGAUACCUUGUCUUGAUUGCUCGGUCCUAAGGUCACCGAGCUCGGUUUGUACCUAUGUGCACUGUAUGUGAUUCAUGGAUAAUGACCCAGUGCCCUGAUAUAAUGGCUCUUGAGGCGGGGGUACAAUCGGCUCCUGAUGCUGCUCUCCUUCAUUCAUCUAUUCACCUACAACUUGUUCACAUGUAACCAUAUUUUCAGCAUCGUAGCGUUCCUCUGUAUCAGGGUCAACGCUCACAUACAACUAAUCAUGUGCAAAACCUCCACUAGGGUGUCUUCAAGCAAAACCGCAUGAUAUCCAAAAGGUUCAUAUUCCUCUUUUAUGGAUAAGAACAAAGUAGUAAUCAUGUGCAACAUAAAUCAUACCUUGUUGGAUGAGAGUUGCCAUAUCAAUUUUUUUCUUACCUGCCACUAGGGUGUCUUCAAGCAAAACCACAUGAUACCCAAAAUGUUCAGCAAAUUGGGUAAUCAUGCCCCCAACAGAAAUACCACCGGAAUCUUCCCGGCCAACUCUCCCCAAGUAAUCACCUGCAAAGGCAACAAUAUUGAUGGCCGGAUUUUGUGCCAUCGAGUAUAGGAAGAACAAAUCUGGUUGAGUUAUCACGCCCGUACUAUCACCCCGUCCAAACAGACUGUACGCCAGAUCUUUUGAGACAUAGCGGAAGCACGGAUUCUGGAUGCCAGAGGCUUUUGCACCUUUUGAGGUGUAAUCAGUCCUCCUAGUAAUGGCAGUCUAGAAAUCUUGUAGAGAAAACCCGUCAGGAACCGCACCAGGUUCGUACAGUUGGAGUCGGAGAAUACCGGCCAACUCCUCAAUAGAAAGCUCAUGAUAAUUAUUAAAAAGGCGGAAUCAGAGAGUACCAUAAUAGUACCUCAUCGUGUUAAUCCACCAUUUCUCCAGUUGGAAUUCGAGUGUGCUAAAAAAUUCGAGCGUGAUGCGCUCAUAGGUCGGCACUUCAAGGCUCAUGAAUGCCAAUAUACCCAGCAAAUGGAACAUCAUGUCAACUUCAAUUUUUAGGCCUAUAUCAUGAAGGGUCUGUUUGCACAUAUACUUGGUGGGGGUUAGCUUCCACUUUCUGUGAAUGACAUACCGUUGCUCCUGCUCCGGAUUGUCGAAGACAAUGUUAUGCGGGUUCGGAUUACGGCUGUUCCUUUUUAGUGGCCUCGAGGUCUCAGUCAUUUAUUGCUUCCCUUGAAUAAUCCUUCUUGGGGGCAUUUUUAUACCUGCAAAAAGGAAGAGAAAUUUGAAAUUGGAAUUAAAGAAAACGGACACCAUGGGUGUGAUGAGGGCGAAAAAUGGAGAAGGAUUCGUGAAAGGAGUUUGUGAUUUGGGUUUGUUGUGGUGGUAAAGGAGGAAGAUUUUUGGUGGGGUGUUAAUGUAAGGUCAAGGUUUUUUUAGAGAGAGAUGGUGGAGAAGAUGAGAUUAGUGAGAGAUGAUGAGUGGAAAGUGAAUCACAUCAGAUUUUUGGGAAGGGUUAAGUGGGUGUAAUGAAUAGGUAUUGGGUUUUAAUGAUGUGUGGGGCCACACAAAGUCUAACUUUUUUCAAUAUUUUUCAAAUCUGUAGGCCUGACACGAGCCAUAUAUGCUGACACGAGCCGUAUAUGCUGACACGGGCGGCCGUGUCAGGCCAUUGUGUAUCCAACUAUCAAGGGCGUGGUCUUCAGUGGUCUUGACACGGGCCGUGUCAGGCUUCUGCCAAUGUUGAUUUCAUUCAUUCCUUUAGUGCUCUUGACACGGGCCAUGUCAGCUGACAUGGAGGGCCGUGUCAGGAUGCUGUGAUUCUCAAUUUGCAGCCCUUUGUCCUAGCCCUGACAUGGGUCGUGUCAGAUGACACAGGCGGCCGUGUCAGAUGGCACGGGCGGCCGUGUCAGGCUAUUAGUUUCUCCUCAAGACAUUUUUCUCUCUCUUAGUUUCAAAUACGGUUUUCCUCGCGGUACAACUCCCGCUUUUAUGUGAGUACCUUCUCCCUUUUAUAUGCAAGGCACUAUGCAGACCUAAAAUAACAAACAAACACAAACAAUAAUUAGAAACAAAAAUGUGCGGGUUGCCACUCACGAAGCGCUUAGUUUAACGUCACAUGGCUCGACGAUUUACCAUACUAUCCGUGUGAAUAAACAUUUUUUACCAGGCCAGUUCCUUGUCCUUGAGGAUAAGGCUUCUGCUUAUUUCCAUUUGCGUUUGGACUGGAACUAGGAGUUGGAGUUGCUAAUGGAGGUGUUGAUACUUGAGAAGGCCCUUUUGCAUCUUUUUAUGAUGUUGGUACGAUACUUUGCCUUCUCACCUCUGUCCUGAUGAAGCCUACUUGAUAGUGAUGUUCUUUUUCUACCUUAAGAUCCCUAUUUUCAAUAGCAUUUAAUGUUAUUUAUUUAUCAUAAACUUUUAAGGUUAUCGUGCCCUUGUCCAUGUCGAGAUUGCAUCGACUUGUCUGCAUGAAAGGUCAACCAAGAAUGAUGGGUGUCUCUUCAUCUUUAGGUAUGUCUAGGAUCACAAAAUCAAUAGGGAAACUCAAGUCCUCUAUUGUCACCAGUACGUCUUAUGCUAUACCAUAUGCAUCCUUUCCCGAGUGAUCCGUAAACUUCAGAUUUGUCUUUGUAUCACUGACAUUUUUAAUACCGAACUUGUGAUAUAUUGAUAAUGGCAUCAGACUCACACUAGCUCCAUAAUCAAUUAGUACCUUUUUUAAAUUUCUCUCUUUAAUUUUUCAUGAUACUGUUACCGUUCCAGGGUCCUUCUGUUUGUUUGGAAUUUUCUGCCCUAGUGAAUUUGCACUACAUUUUUCUUUCAAGGCUACCGGUUCUUCUAUUAUUGGUUUCUUUUCGGCCAUUACCUCUUCCAUGAAUUUUUUGUACAUGGGCAUUCGCUCGAGUGCUUCAAACAAAGACAUAUGACUCUCUAUCUUUUUGAACAUUGUCAUGAAUUUCUCAUAGUAUGACUCGCUUGGAUCCUUCUUUGUCAUUCUCUGAGGGUAGGGUAGCUUAAUCACCGGUUUAAUAUCCUUUUUAUUUUUCUCUUCAGUUGGCUUUCCAGGUGGUAUAACUUUUUCAUCUUUAGUGGCCCUCUCCUUUUUCGUCGUGACAGUAUUAACAUUCUCAUGAUUUCUUAAAUUUUGAACUGUUUCACUUGGUAAGGAACCUAUUGUUCAAGAACUGGCUAUUUGUUGUGCAAUCUGACCUAACUGAACUUCAAGAUUUUUUAUAGAGGAAAUGGUGUUUUUAUGAUUGUUUCUAGUCUCUUCUUGGAAUUUCAUAUAUUUAGUGGUCAUGUUUUCAAUGGAAAUCUCCCAACCUGCUUUCUUUGGAGCUUGUUGUUGUUGCUGUUGUUGAUAUUAAGUCUGAUAUUGACCUUGACCCUAUUGUGGAAAAUUGCCUAUCUGAUCUUUCUAUGAGAAGUUUGGAUGAUUCUUCCAACGUGGAUUGUAAGUGUUGGAGCAGGGGUUAUUAUGCUUUAAAAAAUUUGUCUCUUCAAUUUGUUUAGGGGGUGGCAAAGCAAUACACAGUAUGGUGCGGUCCAUUACAGAUUUCACAAGUGAUGGUCUGAGCAAGUUGAACUUGAGCUACCUAUUGGGUACUUAUGUUCAUAGCUUUCAAUUUCUUUUCCACUUCAGCAACUACUAGUAUUUUCCAACUAGUUUUUUUUUAGUUUUCAGCUUCAGAUCAAUCACUCUAUCAAGUUUACUAGUACACCUAUCAUAUAAUUCCAUAUGUUGAUUGGCAGCUAUCGCUUCAAUAAUCUUUUUAAUACCAGUGGCUGUUGAGAAAUUUGUUGAGCCACCAACUGCUGUAUCAAUCAACUGUUUUGUCUUUAGUUUCAGCCCGUUAACAAACAUCUGCAUUUGUUCAGUCUAAUCCAUAUUAUGAGUUGGGCAAGCUACUAAGACCCUUUUGAAUCUUUUGUAGGCAUCUCCCAAAGACUCACCUCCUUCUGUUUGAAGUUCAAUAUUUCAUACAUUUUUCUCAGAAAUACCGAUGCUGAAAAAUACUCAUUUAAGAAAGAAGUUUCCAUCUCUUCCCAUGAUGUAAUGCUGCCUGCUGGGAGAGAAUAAAACCAUUCUUCCGCCUCUUCAGCUAAAGUAAACGAGAACAUUCUUAAUUUCUUUGCUUCGUCAGUAUGACCAUCAAUUUUCAACGUAGUACUCAUGGUCAGAAAUCUCUGCAAGUGCUUGUUUGCAUCUUCAUUAGCAUUUCCUGUGAAAGAUUUUCUUUCAACUUGAUUGAUUGUGCUAGGAUGCAGUUGAAAAUUAGUCACAUUCACCGGUUGGUUGACAAUUGUUAAUCUACCACCCAGUGCAUUUGCGCCUCCAUAAUCACCAAGGAGUCUCUAUGGAGGUGGAGGUGGAAAUGGAGGAACUUCAGCCAUAGUUUCUUUUUCUGAAUCUGAAUAUGAGUGAUCAGAGGGAACUUCUUCUUUGGAAUUCAAUCUAGCGUGUCUGAGUCUCCAGUGAAGGGUUCUCUCGAUUUCUGCGUCUAAAAGAAAUUCAGUUGAGGGAUUUCCUCGCAUACACAAAUUAGUGAAUGAAAAUAUAUAAAUGACAGAAAAAUAAUUUUUUUGCAGAGCAACAAAAUUUUAAUUGAACUAAAAUUAAACUCUAUAUUUUGGCAAUCCCCGGCAACGAGGCCAAAAACUUGAUCUGAAAAAUAGCAAGUGUACUAUUUUUCCUUUUGUAGUAAUAAAGGGGAAAUUCCCUGAAUGUCGAUCUCAAGGACUGCAAGUGAAUAUCAAGUUCAAUUCAUCGUUCAAUUAAACAAAAACUAGAGUUGGGGGUUUUGAAUUCAAACUUAUAAAAAUAAAGGCAAAUAAAAUAAUACUGUAAAAUAAGAGUUUGGAAGGGAAGAUGAAUAAUAUUAGGGAAGGUGUAUAAUUUUCCCCUGUAACAAUUCUGAGUUACUAUUGCAUCAACAAAUAUCAAUUACUACCAAUUCUCAAGUUUAUUUUCUCCCAAUCCCUUGGUGAUAAAACCUUUAAUCAUUCAACCCUAAUUUCUAUGUCCAUAGGAAAUUAUCGGUGAAAUUAAGCCUUAUUAUAUCAAUAAUGCUCUGAUUCAUACAGGGUGUCCCUAGUCCUAGGUGAUAUCUACUGCAGAGUAAUCUUAUGAAAACCUUACCAAUGGAGGUCUAGCUUAAUUAAUAACCAUACAAAAAUCUCGAUUGGUCCGAAAGAUAAAACAUUAAACACAUUAAAAGAUUACCGUAAAAAUAAUAUUAUCAAUGCAAUCGUAAAAUCAAAGUCAUUAUAGAUCUAAAUCAGGGACACCCCCUAGCACUGGGGGGUUUCGCUACUCAUAUUGUUCAAAAGAGAUCCAAGAUGAAAAAUACACAUUACAAGUAAUUGGACGACUUGGAUCUUCAAUUGCUUCUGCUCAUGAAAAUCUUUCACUCUCCGAAUUCCUUAUUCUCUGUAAUUCUCGAUCGUUUGACAAUUCUCAAUGCUUUGUGUUCUGCUCGUUCCAAAGUGUCUUCUUCUCUCGUAGAAAAUCUCCUAAAAUAGUGAAAAAUCACUUGGCAAAGGUUAGAAAUCCCCAAAACGUCCCUGCUACUCAAGCCCGGGUAAAAAGCCCAAAAAUUGGAAGAUUUUGUGCCUAGGCUGACACGGCCCGUGUCAGCUCCCUGCCUUAUCCAUCUCUCCUGACAUUUCCCAGGUGACCUGACAAUGGCUGUGUCAACUGACACGGGCCGUGUCAACUGACACGGGUGGCCGUGUCAUACCCCUAUCUUGGUUAUUUCUUGUUCUUAAUUUGCCUUCCUUCUGACACAGCCCAUGUCAGGUGACACGUUUGGCCGUGUCAGGCCUCCUGUAUUGAAAAAUAUUUUUUCCUCAAACACCAGACCCUUCCACUUUCUUGCAUUGAGUCAGUUGGAUCUUCUACAUGGACCUGGAGGGCAUAAACACAGACAACCAAAGCAUAAAAUCCCGAAAACACAAAAUAAAACUAAAAUUGAUAAAAUGCUUAAAUAACUUACAAAAAUGAAAACUAACUCAAAAGGUACCAUAAUGCACACAAAGUACUCUAUAAUCCUUGGUUUCUUGUCGAAUAAGUAAUGAAAACAUAGUGAAAAUGGUGACCGAUCACCAUUCCAUGCAUCCAUUAUCUUUUCCACCACGACACCUCGUUUGACGAUUUUUCCGCCCUCACCUUUGAUGUGUUUAGUGCCAACCACAGGUUGACUUUUCACAUUUUUGGUUAUGUGAUACUUACAAAGUAAUUCAGAUGAUGUAGGAAACAUUGUUGCAUCUGAAUUCAUCAGUGCAGUGUUGUGAUCGAUGGUUAUAACAAGUGGCAUAUUUUCUUGGUCCUUCAAAUAAUCUUGCACAUUUACAAAGCCCGUGUAAUGUUUUCCUCGUUUUUGGAUUUCAAAAAUGCAAAAUCGAAUGAAUAAGUCAUCUCCGUAGAAGUAGCACCAACAAUUUCUAAGAGUGGAAGUAUAUACUUGUUUGUUUUAUAUGUCAACUUAAUUGUGAGCACAGUGGGAAAGGUGUGUUGAACAACUUGACAGAAUCAGGAUGACUCCAAAAUCUAUCUUGAACAAUGACUUUAUCCUCACAAUAUCUGAACCUCGAAACAUAGUUGCCAUCAUCCAAAACCUCCAAGAGUUGUUACAUAUCAGAUCUUGGUCAUCUUACUUCCUUUUGUCUCAAGCACACACGUUGUAUAUUUGUGAUAUUUGAAACAUUUAGAGGUCUUUUCUAUUUUAAAGAGGCGAGUAUGUUUUUCAGAGCCACCAUGUUUAAUGUCAUGUCCGAAACAAGUUCAGUCUCCUCCGACACAAGGCAAAAUACAAUGGGAUGAUUGGCUAGCUUGUCACUGAGUUGUUACUUAAAUCAUUUGCAUGAAUAGCAAACCCAUAAAUGAGUUCAGGGGGUACUUCGGAGAUGCAUCUUUGGAUACACCCAAAUGCGAAGAUGCAUGUCCAAACUAUUUUUUAAAAAAUUGGAGCGAAACUUAGAAAAGAGAAGAUAAACGUGAUUUUGAAUGCGUCAGAAAAUGCAUCUCCAUAUGUUUGGGGGUAUUUUUAAAUAUUUAAGAAUGUGGGAGGCACCACCGAGGAAGGAAAGAGUAUCCCUUACAAAAAUUGGGCUUGUAACUUCUAAAGUGGGUUGAGUUACAACUUGUACAUGAUAAACAAUGAAUUAACUUGCCACCCCUACUUGAACCUGACAACGCCCCCCCCCCCCCCCUCCCAGUUUGAACAAGUUUACCUUUAUACCAACCGUAAAAUUCCUGAAAUAUUGAAAUUUAUAGUAUGUUACUGGAAAUUGAGUCUAUACCAUAAAUUUUGCAAAGUUACAAUUUUUUACCACUACCGUGAGACACAUACCAGAUAUUUGAAUUUUUCGGUAAAUAACGUAGUAGAAAUUUCUAAAUUUCAGGUUGAGAUAUACCGAAAAUUAUGUAUUUUACGUGAAAUGUCAUAACAUUCCGGAAAUUUCAAAAUUCUGGAAAACCGGAAUAUUGAAGUUUUUGGUAUGAGCCCGAAAUUUCAAAAAAACACAAUUUCGUUAUUUUUUAACACAUCGGCCUGCAUGAAUGGUUCGAUAACAUAGAUGCAUAUUCUCCACAAAAUUGGUGCUACAUACAAUAUUACAAAAUAAAUUAGGAUGACUUCCUAACUUCAUCUUCCCAAUGCCUAAUUCGUCCUGCAUAUGCUAAUUCUCAUACUUUUGCAUCUUUAGUACAAUUCUGUCUCCAACGGUCAGUGGCGGGAGGCAAUGGACUAUAAGGUUUCAAACUAACCUAAACCCAAUGAUUGUUGUUGACAAAACCAAUAACAAUGAUUUUAUGCCUGCUCGUAUACAUAGGUGGAGCUAAGGUAAGAAGGAAAAAGGUAACCCAUAUCAGGAAUCACCAUACGUUUUUCUUGACCCUGCACACCCAAGUGUUCUACUUUCAAGGCAUUCCUAAAUUCAGAGUAUGGGUCAUAGAACAAAUUAGAAAACAAAUUACGGUGUUAAUGAACUUGAGUAUCUAACUGCGACUGAAUCAACAACCAUGACUCUUCAACACAUCUAAGUAAAGCUGCAAUAGCCCCAAAACCAAAAUUUCCAUCAUCACCCACAUUAACAAUGUCAUCAAUGUAUGAAUGCAAGAAACCAGGAAACUAAGACAAGUAAAAAUGCCUCAAAGAUGCAGUGGAUGGUUGACUUUGACCUGGGAUAUUUGACGGUUGACUUCCUGUUGGUUUCGUGCAUGAUCUCUUUGUAGUCUGACUCUCCUGUGAGCCCUCACCAUACUCCCAAUAUGAAGGAUCGCGAUACACAACACUCUCUUAACCCUUUCUGCUCUUCUUAACUCCCCUCUUUGGCUUGUACUUCAUCGGUUGUGGACACAUAGAAGUUAUGGAUGGAUGUGUUAGUUCUCGAAACAUUUUCUUCGAAACCCUUUGGCCUACAAUAUCUAAAGUAUUGAAAUAUGUCUUCAAUUCUUCACACUCUGCUUCUAAAUCCAACUUUAUACCAUUUUUUCAUGAUUGACAUCAUGCUCUUCAAUGUGUAAUUUCUUCCAAAAAAAUAUGAAUUAGAUCUAAAGGAACAUGAUUGCCAAGUAUUUGGAAAUCGAUAAGUUGACACGCAUAAGGUAAUCCAUGUGUUAUUCUAAUGAAACAUCUGCAAACAUCUUUUCUUGUCCCAACAAAUUUUACCCUUUCUAGUUCAUUCCCAAUGUGUCGUAUACACUGCAUUGAAAAAUAACUAUGCAAGUUGGUAUAAAAUGGAGUGUUAUAACAUUGUUCAAUGUUGACAAUACUUUUUUGAAAUGAGACUCUGAUUGAACUUAGCUGCAAGUUCAACAUGUUGUUCACAAUAUCCCAACUUCGGCAUAAGUCUCAUCGGCUUGUAGUCAACAUGUUUUUUAGUCUUCAAUGAGCAGACUCCACCCUAAAAACCAUAAUUAAACCGUAAUGAGUCAACAUGAUAAAGAAUUCUUAGUAAUGUAAUGAAAUAAAAAAUAAGUUUGAGUACAUGUUCAUUGUUGUGUUCCCUAAAUGAGUGACUCUGUUAGUUCAAGCAACAACAAACCUUUCUUUAUAAGGUGUCAACCAUGUUUCACUCACAUACUUAACAAACAAAGGAAUAUCAGCACAAACAGUCUUAAAAUGCUUCAAUUGUUAGACAAACUCAGUUUCUCUAUUAGCAUACAUGAUGUUGUUCAAUAGAUCCAUGAAAUGUUCAUGUCUUUCUUAUUUAACAUACUCUUUACAUUUCAUGCUAACGCUUUUUGAAAUAUGGAAUGAACAUAACAAAUGAGUUGAAUUUGGAAACACAACUUUAAUUGCAUUCAUCAACGCAAGUUCUCGGUCCGUCACCACAACAUUCGGUAACAAUUUCUCAGAAUAGAACAACUCUUUGAGAUUCUCUAGUGCCCAUUUGAAGUUCUCAUCCCUUUCAUAUUCUACAUAGGCAAAGCCUACCGAAAAAGUCAAUUUUUGACGUAACGCCAACAAUCUCAAGCAGUGGUAGUUGAUACCUAUUUGUCUUGUAUGUACAAUAAAAGAUCAACACUAAGUGAAAUAUAUUCAACAACUUCACUGAAUCAGGAUGUGUCUAGAAGAUAUCAGCAACAACAUUUGAGUAUUACUUAUUUCUUGUCCAACACAUAUAUUUUUCUAUAUGAAUAAGAGUCAACAACAUUUUCAUUUCCGUCGAUGAACCUUUCUUACUCGCAUUGUAUGUAGCUCUAGCUUUAUACACUUGGAUAAAACUGGUGAGGUUUUCUGGAUCUUUGUCUUUCAAGGAAGAAACUAUGUAUCGUGGUGCCAUGUUGUACUUAGUCAUGUCAUUCACAAACUGUCUCUCGUUAACUUUUAGAUGACUCAAUAUGUCACAACCAUCUAAAUCCUCAGAUAUUUUAUGAUUGUGCAACCCACACCUAACCAUCAUCUUCCAACCACUGCCACUCAGCACAAAUCUUAGCCUAAAAGGGAAUUUCGCUUUCAUACUAUAAACACCCUAUGAGGUUUUACUGCUUUCAUAUGUAUUCUUCCUUUUACAAUUUCCUCCUCUGUCACAACCCAUAAUCAAUUUAUCUUUCCUACCUCGCUUGUCUUUUGCAGUAGCAGAAUAAGCAGUCACAACAAUAAUACCAUAUUGUUUGCCAAUAUUCUAUGCACAAGCUAAUACUUCAGAUCGAGACUCAAAUAUCUACCAUUUACAUCACAUAAAAAGUAUACUAUCAAUAUCAUAUAAGGACGGGAAAAUAUUUAAUUUAAACUUGUUAAUAGAAAACAUAUUUUGUAUGUGGUGAAGAAUUGCGUACAUUUUGCUACAUGAAUCCGUAGAUGACCAUGUCGGUUCCAGACCAUACAAAUAAAGCAUUUUCCCUAAUUUCGACUAUGUUACACUAAAUUUUAAAUAUAUUCAAAAUUUCCGGUAUACUCGAAAUUUGCAAAUUUUUGGAUGUUUUUUUUCCAGAAAUUUUAAAUUUUAUGGUAUUGGAUAUUGGAUAUUUUGAAAUUUCUAGUAUUUUCUACCAGAAUUUUCCAUAUUUUUGGUAUAAAUGCGUGAAUUUUCAAAAAUGCAAAAACUCGCGUAUCGAAAAUUUCAAAAUUACCACCGAAAAUUUGUUUUGGUAUAUUAGAAAAAGAUAAAAUUUUGGAAGAAGAGUAAAAUUUAAUUGGUAAAUAUUAACAAUAUUUUGGAAAUUUAAAUUUUUUGAAAGGUGUCGGAUAUGAUAUGAGGGGUGGCAAGAUAAUUCCUCGUGAUAAACACGUGGUGGAGAUAGACAUAUUUUCCAACAAUUUUCCACUUCUGGCCCCACCUCUCUCUUCUGGUUUUCAAACAAAAAAGUAUAAGUGGUUUAUUCAAAAACAAAUAUAAAUAUGUGGUGGAGAUGAGACAAAUUCUCCAAUCAUCUUUCCACUUUCGAGCCCCACCCAUCUCUUCAAAACCAGAAUUCAAACAAAAAAGAAUAAGUGGUUUAUUCAAAAACAAAUGUAAAGCAAUAACAAAAGUUAGAUAAUUGAUACAUACCAAAUAAAACUCUAGAAUAAAGAAAAGGAACGGGGAACUCUGAACUACCACUCUUUUCAUCUUCUUUUCACCUUCUAAAUCAAAUUAGUUUCUUGUUUGUUGUCGUUGUAACAUUCACUUGUAAAGGUUCAAGUUAGAGAGGAAGGUAUUAACACCCUUCACAUCCCUUGUAUUCAACGGGAAUCAUUUAGUUAGUUUUGUGAGAGGUGUUAGCUUAAAAAUGUUUGUGUUUCCUCUUAUUUAUUAAUUGCUGAAAGAAAAUGCAGAUCAAAACGAUUUUUUUAUUAGGGUGCUUGACGAGAUGUUAAAUAUCGCUCUACAUCCUCUACUGCGAUGAGGAAUUCAAAGCUAUGUAAUUCUUUGUAGAAAAUGAUUUCACAUUCUAGAAGUUAAACAUUUCUUGUAUGAUCGCACAUGAGAGACAUAAGCGUUUGUUUGAAUCAUGGUAGAAUGUAUAAAACAUCAUUGAUUUAUGAAAAAGUUUGCGAUCAUGCUAGUGCGGAAAAAGAUUGGUUUAGUUGGUUGAAAGGGUUUUUAAGUAGAUGACGAGCAUUCAAAAAACAAGCUCUAUAACAAAUAUCCAAAUACUCGGGGAAGAAAGAGGCCUACGCCCAAUUAAUCCUUUUUCAUCCAAAAAUUUUAUGAAAGAUGUGAGGCAAAUUGAGUCAUAGUUCCAUAACAUAAGACGAAUAUUCAAAAAACUAGCUCUACAACUAGUAUCCAAAUAGUCUUAGAAGAAAGAGGCCUAUGACCAAUUAAUUUUCUUUCAUCUAUGAAAGAACAUAAUAAAUUCGAUUGAUUAACGUAUUUUAGCUUUGAAGACGAGUGCUGAUAGUGUAUUUCUGGUUGAUUAAAUGUGUAUUCUGACAUUUUCAUAGUGUAUUUCUGGGAAGGAAUCAACGAGGGUUGUCCUCAUUGAAAAUCAAAUCGGAAUAAUUCCAAAUUGAGUGUGCCAAUCAAUUGGUUAAUGUCCCCAAUGAAUUGAUUAAUCGAGUCUUUCUUGAUUUUGGAUUUUCAUUAUUAAUUAUGGGAUUUGAUUACUUUGGAGCAUGCAUUUAGCUUGGAUUUGAUUUGAAAAUUUGUGCGUCAAGCUCUUCAAAUCAAUUUCCUUAAGGUGUCGAUCGAAUGGACUUACCUCAGUUAGGCUCCUUGGUGCAUUUUAUGUCGUGUGCCAGAUUUUGUGGUUUUUCUACACCCAGUUCAUUUUUAUUUGCACCUCAUUUCGAUGAAACACUUAGAAACUCCUCUUUUCGGUAAGUGGACAUCAUUUAUCGAGAUGCAAAAAAUUAAAACCACUACUUUAAAAGAUUAAUCAAAUUUUUUCUGAUCAUUUCAAUCAUAAAAUAAUGUACUAUCUCAAAUAUCAAAAGCACAUCCUAGUGAUCUAUUACAUAUUACUCACCAAUGAUAUUUUACAUUGGUUGUAGAGGUUAACUCACAACCUUUUAGUAUAUGAGGCAACUCCUUACCAACUAAGUCAACCUUCACUAGUGUUUGAUAGCGAUGAAUACGAGUUGGAUUGAACUUUGUUUGGUCUAAUCCCUUAUCCAAUCCGUUCAAAUUUUAAUGAAUUGAGUUCAUCGUCCAACCUAAGAUUUCAAAAUCAAACGAAACAAAAUCGAUAUGUUCAUUUAUGAGUUGGGUUAGGUUGAGUUUGUGGGUUCUGUUUCAAAUAAAAAAUAAUUUUUUAAAUAAUUUUUUUCAAUUAUAAAAAAAUAAUAACAUAAUUCGAUAAAAUUACAUUCAUUUGUAACACUCAACUUGUUUUAAACACAUUAUAUAAUGUCCAUAAAAUUCAUCCACUUGAUAAUAGUAGGAAAUUUCACAAAACACCUUAUUUUAAUGAAAUAAGAAACGUGGAAAUGAUACAAAAUAAAAUCAGAAACAAUAUUAAAUCUUAGAAUUAUUUAAAUUCAUGGUCUAGUAGUAUUAGUAUAUUGAUGUUAAAUAGGUAUAUAUAUUUUUGGAAAAAUUGUGAUUAGAACUGAUUAUUGCGGAUUGAGCUGAAUAUAUCUGUAAAUAAACGAGUUCAAACAAUUUAAGAGUUUGUUCAAUUUGAAUCAAUAGAUUUGCGGAUUAACUCACAUCAAUGAACACUCUUAUAAUUGGAUGUCUUUCUUUUGAUGGAGAAACAAAAUAAAUAAUUUUAAUCUUGUGGUUGGACGAUGCAUUCUGAAAUUGAAAUUUAUGUAUUUAUUUUUUCAAUUAUUUUGAUAGCAGCCAUAAAGAUAGUAUGCAUACAUAAAUUUGUACAAAGACAUAUAUGCUAUAUUCUGCAGCAACAUAGGGCUCCUUGACAAGCACUACCGAAAGUGAUGCCCUUUUGUGCACAACUCUAAAGAUAUUCUUGAGGAUGAUCUGGACACAAAGCAAUAACAUAAGUUAGAUAAUUGAUACAUACCAAAUAAAACUCUAGAAUAAAGAAAAGGAACGGGAAACUAUGAACUACCACUCUUUUCAUCUUCUUUUCACCUUCUAAAUCAAAUUAGUUUCAAUGAAGAAAUUCAACAAUGUUCAUCUUCUUUCUUUACUUCUCUGUAACCACCCAUUCUUUGUUUAGUCCAUCCUCCAAAUUUAAAACAAUCGCACAUCCCUUUGCAACACUCACUUCAAAUAAAGAUGUUAAAACAUUUUUUUCAAACAAACCCUCGAUCAUGUAAAUUUCAAGUAUUGGGGUGGUGCUAAUUCCAGCGCUCCAAUACUUGCCUAUUUGGGUGCAAAAAAUGAAAUGGAAAUGCCGGAUGAAGAUUUUGGGACGGAUAAUGCAGCAUCCUUUAAAGCCUUACUGGUGUAUAUAGAGGUAGUAAAUAUGAAACUGUUUCUUUAAUACUCAAUGAUGAUUUAUGAAUCAAGUUGGUUUUACAUAAUCUGACCUUACUUUUAAUUUUCUUCUUAGCAUCGCUAAAUCUGUUCCCUUUGGAUCAAAGGAAAAGGCAUACAAGAAUGUGAAUACCUUGGGCUACUUAAAGUCAGAACAAGCCCUCCCAGAUUACACCAUCGUGCUGAUAGAUUUAAAAAACUCAUUACAUGCACAAGAGUCACCUGUGAUUGUGAUGGUAGCAUCCUAUGGCGGAAGUUAGUUUCUAAGACUCUCUUAUUUUGAAAAUUCUUCCUCUUUGUAUAGAAUUCUUGUCUAUAUGAUUUAUAUAAAUUCUGUAGUUGUGAUGUGUUACUAUUAUAUUAUGUUUUUGCUUUCUAAUGGUAAAAAUAAGAAUGUAGAAUCAGAAGAAUCCGAGCUAUGAAUCUCUAUUUGAAUGUAGCAGCAACAGAUCCUAUUGCAGUCUACUAUCCAUGCUUUAGUGUACUAAUUGCUCACAACAUUCUAUGAAAAGUGUCAGCGUAUUAAAAACCACUGAAAUUAUAAAACAACAAUGAGAUUAGAAGAACAGAAAAAGGUCAUUAAGAAUUGAGGCUAAUGAUUGAGUUUUUGAAACUUGAUCAAAGUAAUGACAUACUAAAGGAUUUCUUUCUUGAAGAUUUAAAACUAGAAUUUCAUAUAUUGUAUUCUCAGUUUAUGCAGUCUUAUUAUACAUUUAUCAGUAUUCUUGUUUCUUCAUUAUAAUUCUUUACUUUUAUAACUUUCCACAUCUUCAUCUACUUUCACUUUCACCUUUUUGAAAAAGACUUUCAGUUUUACCUCACCAACAUCAUCGCACGGUAUCGUUGGAACCACUGUUAGUGUUGUUGGUGUAAGCCCUAGAGGCCAAUACUUUUGGUACUUGUAUCAAAUUAUUUAUUAAUAAUAAAAGGCAUUUUCUUUAUUAUGUUUGUUUAAUAAAGUCCCUGGAAUAGAUAGUCCGAUUAAUGGAUCAAGUGUGACUUGAUCAUGAGAUCACAUUAAACAUAAGGACACCAUUCUUAAAGUAUCCAUAGUCGGGCUUUAUUGUGAAGUGGGAUAACAUUAAAGCAUUGAGACUAUUAUGUUUGUAGACUGAUGAUCACAUCUCAUGGAUCAUGGAUAAAGAGUUAUCAAGUCUUAAACAUAUGUAUGAAUAUUAAGAGUAAUGUUUAUACCGGAUUGACCCGUUAUGAGAAUACUAUAUAGAAAGUUAUGCAAAGUGUCAUAAGUUAUUCUCAUGGUGAUAAUGGUGUAUACCACUCUUCGACCUGAAACCACUAUGGAUCCUAGAUGUAGAGUCGAAUACUUUAUUGUUGAUCCAACAUUGUCCGUAACUGGAUAACCAUAAAGACAGUUGAUGGGUACUCCACAAAGCAUGCUGAGGGACAUGAGUGACCUAGAUGGAAUUUGCCCAUCCUGCGUAACAGGAUAAAUGUCUAUGGCCAAUAUUGAACUGGACAGGAUGACACGGUCUAUACUUGUGUUCAAUAUAGACAUAAGGGCAAAAGGGUAAUUAUACACAUAUUUUUUAUCACAGGAGGUUUUUGUCAGAUCAUCAUGAAUUUUUGUCUUGGGUAGCAGUGAUGUGUUGCUAGAUACCGCUCACUGUUUAUUAUGUUAAAUGUGUGAUUUAAUAUAAUUGCCAACGUCACGAAAACCUACAGGGUCACACACAAAGGACGGAUUGAUGAGAUAGAGUAACUAAGGAACAUCGUAAGGUACGGUGCACUUAAGUGGAAUACGCAAUAUGGUAAGGUACCAAAUACUUAAGUGAUUUGAGAAUAUUAUAAGAUAUGGGCCAAAAUACACUUAAGUGGGCUUUUUAGCUAGAAGCCCACACAAGUGGUUCUAUAAAUAGAACCCUUGGGUAGAAGCAUUGUCACUCAGACAACAACUCAAGUGAAGACUUGGAAUUUCGUUUCCCUCUCUCUCACACUCAAAACCUUCAUUCGUACCAGAUAGAACUGAGAUUGAAGAAACCCGUUCGUGUGGACUGAGUAGAGACGAUGUCAUCGUUCAACGUUCGUGAUCGCUCCGUGGAUCUGUAUCCGAGUUUUUGAUCGUUACAAGAGAUCUGCACCAAAGCUUUGAAUCGCCACAAGAGGUAACGAUUCUAUCACUGAUCAUUCUCAUUCGUAAGGAUCACUAAAUGGAGAAAAUUUUAAAUUCCACUGCGAUUUGGAUGGCUAUUCUCCUUCAAUGGUAUCAGAGCCACUUACGAAACCAUGAAUCUGAUAACUGUUUAUUUUCUGUAUUAAUACGAUUAAAAUAGAAUGAAUCAAAGAUUAAAUUGAGAUCGAUCAAGUCAUAUAUAUGAUAUAUGUAAUCCUGAUGAAAAAUACAUUAUAUAUGAUAUAGUGUUCUUGUUUCGUUCAUUCAAACACUCAAUGGUUAUUUUCCUUUGAGCGAUCAAUGGUUAUUUGCUUCUUGAUCCGACAUUUAUAUGGUGAAGCAAUGACGUGUUGAUCAAUCAUACUGAAUCAACAAUCGAGAUGUGUUUGACGGUCUGAAAUUGGUGCAUCAGGGUUAGUGACGGCACAAGGGUUGUGUUGUCAGAGAGUUAUGCGAUGAAUCAACAAUCGAGAUGUGUUUGACGGUCUGAAAUUGGUGCAUCAGGGUUAGUGACGGCACAAGGGUUGUGUUGUCAGAGAGUUAUGCGAUUGGGGUUGUGACUGCACAAGAGUUGUGCUUUCCAAACACUUUUUGAAACAGUGUUAACCGGUUAAUGCAUAUGGUUAACCGGUUAACGCAGUACGAAAUAAAUUUUUUAAGGUUUUCAAACAGUGUUAACCGGUUAACGCAUUUGGUUAACCAGUUAACGCAAGACGGAAUACAGUUUUCCAAGAGAUUUUCAAACAGUGUUAACCGGUUAACGCAUUUUGUUAACCAGUUAACGCAAGGCAGAAAACAAUUUUUGAACAGAUUUCAAACAGUGUUAACCGGUUAAGGCAUUUGGUUAACCGGUUAACGCAAGGCAAAAUUCACCCGAGUGCUUUAAAAGUAUCAAGUGUUGAUGCGAAAAGCGACGUCGAUCGGUCGUCGAAAUUUAAUUUGGUUUUAAUUAAUUAAAAGAAUUAAAAUUGAUAAUAAUAAAAUGUGUUUAUUAUUGUCUUGUGGUGAUCGGUUAUGCCCUUAGUUUUUCUUUAUUUUGGUUUUGGGUUUUUUAAAAUACGACCUGCGUGUCGUGCCUCUCUCUUAAUCUCCCAAAUGUAACUUCUUUUCUCAUCUCACUCCCUCGUAUGUAAAACGAGUUUCUUUUAUGUAAUGAUAUGAAGAAAGCAAAGAAGUCGGUGCCAAAGGAGGACAACCUUGAAGAUCUUGCUUGGAGAAGCUUAGAUCGUUGUUAGGUUAGCUUAUGUUCUCUCAUUGGCUUGGGAGAACAAUUGCGCUAGGGGCCAUAACUGUUUCAUUAUGUAUGUAUGUUGAUGCAUGUGAAUGUAUGUUGAUGCAUGUGAGAGGCGAUUUAUAUGAUAAAUAAGCCGGUGAGAUCAUAACGAUUACAAUUCCCUCAAAUUAAAUAUUAAGUUUUUGCUUUCCAAGUUUUAACACUCAUCAAGACUAGUAUCGGAUAAUGUAGGUUUCGCCUACGCGAGGUGCAUGUUCUAUAUUAGUAAGGUGCGAUGGGAUAAUUGUAAUAUCCAACUGUUAAAACAAUGGGUCAAACUUAACUAAACAAAUUAUAAUAAUAUUAUAUGUGUUUGCUUUCCAAGUUUUAGCACUCAUCAAGACUAGUAUCGGACAAUGUAGAUUUCGCCUAUGCGAGGUGCAUUUUCUAUAUUGGUAAGGUGCGAUGGGAUAAUUGUAAUAUCCAACUGCUAAAACGAUGGGUCAAACUUAAUUAUAAUAAUAUUAUAUAUGUUUAGAAGCAAGAGUUGGGAAUGAUCCAUAUGAUGGAUUGGAAUAAGGAGUUAUUCACCCAACUGAAAUUUUCGAGAGUUGUAUAAGAUACAAUUGGAAGGAGUUCCUACCUAAAUAAUCUAGUUUUGUGUAAUCCGCCUACGCGUACUUAGAACGAAGUGAAACAUGGAUCUCGACCCACUAGAAAAUCUUCCAACGAGAUUUUUCGAAUCAAAUGAUGAGGGUCAUUUGUUUUGAGUAAAAUAGUGGGAGCAUAUUUAAUUAAAGGCCUAAUUAAAUAUGUCAAUGAUACGUAUAUUUUCAUUAAUCCUUAUGUAGAUAACCAUGACAGCAAACACCUCUAACGACAUCUUGCGAUCAAUCCUUGACAAGGAAAAAUUGUCUGGGACAAAUUUUCUGGAUUGGUACCGAAACAUGAGGAUUAUCCUCAAACAUGAUAAAGGGAAAGGCAAGGAAGUUGUCAAACCCAAACCCACUAUUGCUGCUUUAAAGCUUGGUGGAGGCAUAGCAAAAGAAGGCACUUGCUUCCAUUGCGGUAAGACCGGACACUGGAAGAGGAACUGCCCAAAGUACCUGGAAGAUAGGAAGAAUGGAGUAGAGACUCCAACUUCAGGUAUUUUUGUUAUGAAAUUAAUUUAUCUACUUCUGCAUCAUGGGUAUUAGAUACUGGAUGCGGUUCUCACAUUUGUACAAAUGUGCAUGGACUAAAAAGGAGUAGAGAUUUGGCAAAAGGUGAAGGCGACCUACGAGUUGGCAAUGGAGCAAAGGUUGUUGCCUUAGCCGUAGGAACUUAUGUAUUGACUUUACCCAAUGGUUUAAUAAUUCAGUUAAAGAACUGUUAUUAUGUACCUGCAAUUAGCAGGAAUAUUAUUUCUGUUUCUUGUUUGGACAAGUUUGGUUUUUCUUUCAUAAUAAAGAAUAAUUGUUGUUCAAUUUAUUUGAAUGAUAUAUUCUAUGCUACUGCACAAAUGAACAAUGGAUUAUAUGUCCUUGAUCUGGAAAUGCCUAUUUAUAACAUUAAUACUAAAAGGAUGAAACCUAAUGAGUUAAAUCCAACUUACCUUUGGCAUUGUCGAUUAGUCCACAUAAAUGAGAAGCGCAUUUCCAAACUCCAUAAAGAUGGACUCUUGGACUCUUUUGAUUAUGAAUCAUAUGAGACAUGCAUAUCUUGUUUAAUUGGAAAGAUGACAAAGUCUCCAUUCACAGGAAAAGGUGAAAGAGCCUAAUGAUCUGCCGUGCAUACUCAUACUGAUGUAUUGGACCACUGACAUACCAGCCAGAGGAGGUUUUCAGUACUUCAUCACAUUCAUUGUAUGAUUUCAGUAGAUUGGUUAUGUGUAUUUAAUGAAACACAAAUCAGAGUCCUUUGAAAAGUUCAAGGAAUUCAAGAAUGAAGUACAAAACCAAACUAGCUGAGAAUAUUAAAACUCUUCGAUCAGAUCGAGGUGUGAAUAUUUAAGCAGAGUUUGAUGACCAUCUGAAAGAGUGUGGAUCCUAUCCAAACUUACUCCUCCUGGAACACCCCAAUGGAAUGGUGUAUCUGAGAGAAGAAAUCGAACCCUGUUGGACAUAGGUCCGAUCCAUGGAUGAGUCACGACGAUCUCAACUCUUGGGGCAUGACUGUUGACAGCAGCUUCACACUUACGUCUUCCACCAAAAAGGUGAAGACUAUAGAUAUGGGGUAAUAACCACAUAUGUCUUACAUAAAGAUGUGGUUGCGAAGUUACUGAAGACAAAUUUCAACUAAGCUUGCAAUUCAUAUUUAUUAUCUAUUGUGCGCUUUACUACUUGUCACAUUUUUAUUUGUCUAGUACUGCUAUUGCGGGUAAUCUAGUAUAAAGAGGUACAUUUGGAAAAGUUUUGGGGGUGUAUCAUCCAUAUGGUGGAUAUGGAGUGUAGUAAACUGUCACAUACGUGGUCUUACAAUUGAAGAUUUGAGUCGUGUUGCCGAAUCUAUACUGAUCAUAGACAAAUUUACUAAUUCGAGCAAGUAUUGAUGCGUUUUUGUGUGGUUUUCGCUAAGAAGGGGGUAUAUUCACAUCUGUCGAGGGAAAUGGUGCAUGGAACUGGGAGUAUUCCAGUAGAAAAGGAUUUUAUUUCCAACGAAUCAGUGGGAGGAAAGUAGAGCUUGAAGAAAUUCAAGAAUCACAGAGCAUCGAUACACCUAUGGGGAAUUAGAGCAGGAAACACAAGUAGUUGUGAAGGCAGCCUGUCAACUAGACAAGACCGCGUAGGUCAAGCAGGAUACAUCACCUACCUGAGAGAUAGGAUAUCUCAUAACAGAUCAAGGUGUGUAUUAUCUCAUGGAUCAAGAUGAGCCUGUGACCUACCAAGAGGCCUAACUGGUCCCGAGUUUUGAGAAGUGGCUAGGCAGCCAUGAAUCCGAAAUGGAUUCAUGUACACAAACCAAGUUUUGACCUUGGAGAGCCUCAUGUAGGAGUUAACCCUAGGAUGCAAGUGGGUCUUCAAAAGAAGACUGACAUGGAUGUAAGGUACAUACCUAUUAAGGCAAGACCUGUUGCAAAGGAUAUAAACAAAUUCAUGGGGUUGACUAUGAUGAAACCUUUUCACCAGUUGCAAUGCUUAAAUCUGUUCGGAUUUUUACUUGAUAUCGCUGCAUAUCAUGAUUAUGAAAUAUGGCAGAUGGAUGUCAAAACUGCUUUCCUUAAUGGGAAUCUUCUUAAGGAUGUGUACAUGACACAACCUGAAGGAUUUGACAUACCAGAAGAAGCCAAAAGACAUGUAAGCUACAAAGAUCAAUCUAUGGAUUGAAGCAGCUUCCAGAAGCUAGAAUCUUCGUUUUGAUGAAACGGUAAAACAAUAUGGAUUCAUCAGAACGAAGAUGAGCCUUGUGUCUACAAGAAGGUUAGUGAGAGGCAUGAUCGUUUUCCUGGUAUAUAUGUAGAUGACAUAUUACUCAUUGGAAACGAUGUCCCUACCCUGCAAUAAGUAAAGUCUUGGUUUGGGGAAAUGCUUUUCUAUGAAGGACCUAGGUGAAGAAGCCUAUAUAUUAGGAAUCAGAAUCUAUAGAGAUAGAUCACAAAACUGCUUGGCCUAAGUCAGAGUAGAUAUAUAGACAAAGUGCUGAGACGCUUUAAUAUGCAUGAUUCCAGAAAGGAUUCAUACUAUGCAACAAGGCCUGUGUCUAUCAAAAACACAAUCCCCUUCAACUAAGGAAGAAAGGAUCGCAUGAAUAGAUUCCAUAUGCAUCUGCCAAUAGGAUCUAUCAUGUAUGCCAUGUUAUGUACUCGACCAGAUGUCUCGUAUGCUUUAAGUGCAACUGAGUAGGUACCAAUCUGAUCAUGGUGAAUGCCCAUUGGGUAGCUGUCAGAAUAUCCUUAAGUACUUGAGAAGGACUAAGGACUCAUUCUUGAUAUAUGGAGAUCAGGAAGAGUUGGCUAUACUUGGAUACAUCGACGCUAGCUUCCAGCAGAUAAGGAUGACUUUAGAUCGCCAAUCUGGUUUAUGUGUUUUGCUUAAACGGUGGCGCUGUAGCGAUGCUGGAAAAGUUCAAAGCAAGAUAACAGUUGCUGAUUCUACAACCAAGGCCGAGUAUAUUGCUGCCUCAAGUGCAGCAAAGGAGUUGUUUGGAUCAAAAAGUUCAUUAGUGAACUUGGCAUAUUCCCUAGCAUUGUGGAUCCCAUUGGUCUCUAUUGUGAUAACAAUGGUGCUAUCGCACAAGCUAAGGAGCCUAGAUCUCACAACGAUCCAACACAUACUUAGGCGUUAUCACUCAUUCGAGAGAUAAUAGAUAGAGGAGAUGUGAAAUAUGCAAAGUACCUUCACUUGACAAUAUUGCUUGACCCACUGACAAAGCCUCUUGCGCAACAGAAGCAUGUGGCCAUAAUAGAUCAAUGGGCAUUAGGAGGUAUGCCUGAUUGGCUCUAGUGUCAGUGCGGAGAUGUUUGGUGUAAGCCCUAGAGGCCAAACUUUUGGUACUGUUGUGUAUUGAUUAUUUAUUAAUAAUAAAAGGCAUUUUCUUUAUUAUGUUUGUUUAAUAAAGUCCCUGAAUAGAUAGUCCGAUUAAUGGAUCAAGUGUGACUUGAUCAUGAUCACAUUAAACAUAAGGACACUAUUCUUAAAGUCUCGAUCCUAGUCUUGAAGGGCUCUCAUUGAUGAAAGUGGAUAACAUUAAAGCAUAGGUAGGCUAUUAUAGUUUGUAGAUUGAUAUCACAUCUCAUUGGAUCAUGGAUAGAGUUAUCAAGUUUAAACAUAGGUAUGAAUAAUAAGAGUAAUCAUUUUUACCGGAUUGACCCGCUAUGAGAAUACUACUAUAGAAAGUUAUGCAAAGUGUCAUAAGUUAUUCUCAUGGUGAUAAUAGUGUAUUACCACUCUUUGACUGUGAAACCACUAUGGAUCCUAGAUGUAUAUAUUUGAGUACUUUAUUGCUGAUCCAACGUUAUCCGUAACUGGAUAACCAUAAAGAGCAGUGAUGGGUAUCCACAAAGCAUGCGGGAAGGACAAUGAGUGACCUAGAUGUAAUUUGCCCAUCCUGCGUACAGGAUAAAGUCUAUGGUCCCAAUAUGAAUCUGGACAGCGUAUGACACGGUCUAUACCUUGUGUUCAAUAUAGACAUAAGGGCAAAAGGGUAAUUAUACACAUAAUUAUUAUCACAGGAGGUUUUGUCAGAUCACAUGACAUUUUCGUGUCUUGGGUAGCAGUGAUAUGUUGCUAGAUACCGCUCACUGUUUCUUAUGUUAAAUGUGUGAUUUAAUAUAAUUGCCAACGUCGCGAAAACCUGCAGGGUCACACACAAAGGACGGAUUGAUGAGAGAUAGAGUAACUAAGGAACAUCGUAAGGUACGGUGCACUUAAGUGGAAUACGCAAUAUGGUAAGGUACCAAAUACUUAAGUGAUUUGGGCAUAUUAUAAGAUAUGGGCCAAAAUACACUUAAGUGGGCUUUUUAGCUUGAAGCCCACACAUGUGGUUCUAUAAAUAGAACCUUUGGAUAGAAGCAUUGUCACUCAGACAACAACUCAAGUGAAGACUUGGAAUUUCGUUUCCCUCUCUCUCUCUCACUCAAAGCCUUCAUUCGUACCAGCUAGCACUGAGAUUGAAGGAACCCGUUCGUGUGGACAGAGUAGAGACGUUGUCAUCGUUCAACGUUCGUGAUCGCUCUGUGGAUCUGUAUCCAAGAUUUUGAUCGUUACAAGAGAUCUGCACCAAAGGUUUGAAUCGCCACAAGAGGUAACGAUUCUAUCACUGAUCAUGCCUAUUCGUAAGGAUCACUAAAUGGAGAAAUUUUUAAAUUCCGCUGCGCCUUGUUCGUUACAAGAGAUCUGCACCAAAGGUUUGAAUCGCCACAAGAGGUAACGAUUCUAUCACUGAUCAUGCCUAUUCGUAAGGAUCACUAAAUGGAGAAAUUUUUAAAUUCCGCUGCGCCUUGGAUGGCUAUUCUCCUUCAAGUGUAACAUGCAUGCUAUUGUAAAACUAACUGGUGUUGACUUAUCUUUAACUUGACCCUUUUGGACUUGGUAUUAGCAAUAAAAGCCAAAUAAUUUUAAAAGAUAUUUUUCCCUCUGUUCUUCAUAUAUGUCAUUUAACAAGAUUUAUGAUAGGAAAAUCUCUAUGAAAUAUUCAAUUAAAGCAUUCGUCAUAAAAAGUACAAAAUUCUUAAUGCUACUUACAUUUAUAUAUAUAUCAAAUAGCUAAAAGUGAUGGUGAUUUUGAGUUUGCUCAAGCAAAGAAUCAAACACUAAGAGAAGCUGGAGUUGUUGUUCCUACUUCAUACGAAGCUUUUGAAACUUUAAUUAAAGAAACAUUUAACAUAGUGUGCAAGGAGUCAUUACAACCACGAUGAAAUAUAAUAACAUGUUGUUCACAUAAGCUUUGGUCGACAUUACAACCACUGUGAAUGUUAGUAGAGACCAUAGCAUUGUAAGAAGUUGAUGUUCGUUCAAACAUUUCAUCGAACAAUUUACGAGUAUUUUCUGUUUAAAAAAAAGAGAUGCAAUAUAGAUGCUUUAGGGUAAUUUAAGGUUAUUGUUAGCGUUAUUGUUAGUAGAGAUGUUAUAGAUGCAAAUUCACAACAUGAUGAAGGAGAAGAAGAAGAAGAGCAAGAUGAAUAGGGAGGUUUGUAAACCCCAUAAUCUAUUGAAGUUGCAUGUCCCCAAUACUUUCUGGGGGAGAAUCCCAAAAUGGUUUUUUUGUUUGUCUUAUCGCUUUCGUUUUGUUUAUUAUUGUUUAUUGAGUCUUCUUCAUGAUUUCAUCAUUGAAUCAAUUUUUGAAUCGAUUCAUUUUUAGCAUGCAUAAUUCAAUUGUUUGUAUUUGAGUUUGAUCAUGAUACUUCUAGUCAAUUGAUUGAGUUAGUGGAACAAAAACCAUAUAUGUUGUUCAUUCAAGUUAGGUUGAAAGGAAAAUCUUAAAGUGUUUUGAAAAUCAUGAAAAAUUGAGAUUUUAUAUGCAUGACCUGAAUCAUGUACAUAUCCUGACUAAACUUAAAUUGAACAGAGGCGAAUAUAAACUUUUCAAAACCUAUAACUCGAGUCACACUUUUAACUUGAUUCAAAUCAGGCAUCUCUAUGACUCAAAUCAUAAGUUGCACUUGAUUCUAAUUAGACAAAUUUAGUCAUCCUCUGCCUCUUUUGAUUCGAAUCAGACAAAUUUUCACAUUUUUCAUUUUGGCUCUAUCCAAUUUCACUCGAAUUAAGCUUUAUACUUAACUCGAAUCACAAGCCUUCACGACUCGAAUCAGGCUUAAAGAUGCCUCGAAGAUGACAAUUGACUUGUUGUUGGUUUUGUGCAUGAUCUUUUUAUAGCCUGACUCCCCUGCAAUCCCUUACCAUAUUCCCAAUGUGAAGGAUCAUAAUGCACAUCACUCUCUUCACCCUUUCUGCUCUUCUUAACUCCCCUUUUUGGCUUGUACUUCAUCGGUGGUGGAGACAUAAAAUUGUGGAUGGAUGUGUUAGUUCUCGAACCUUUUUGUUCAAAAUCCUCUAGCAUACAAUAUCCAAAGUAUUGAAAUAUGUCUUCAAUUCUUCACACGCUGCUUUUAAAUCCAACUUUGUACAAUUUUUUUCAUGACUGACAUCAUGCUCUUCAAUGUGUAAUUUAUUCCAAAAAAACAUGAAUUGGAUCUAAAGGAACAUGAUUGACAAGUAUUUGGAAACCUACAAGUUGACACGCACAAGAUAACCCAUGUGUCAUUCUAAUGAAACAACCGCACGAAUCUUUGCUUGUACCAAUUUUUUUACCCUUUCUAGUUCCUUCCCAAUGUGUUGUAUACACAACAUUGAAACAAAACCGUGCAAGUUAGUAUACAAUGGAGUGUUAUACUGAUGCUCAAUGUUGACAAUACUUUUUUUAAAUGAGAAUCUGAUUGAACUUAGCUGCAACUUCAAAAUAUUAUUCAUAACAUCCCAACUUCGGCACAAAUCUCCUUGGCUUGUAGUCAACAUGUUUUUUAGUCUCCAAUAAGAACACUCCACCCUAAGAACCAUAAUUAAACCAAAAUGAGUCAACAUGAUAAAUUAUGUUUAGUAAUGUAAUGACUUAAAAAAUAAGUCUGAGUACAUGUUCGUUGUUUUGUUCCUUAAAUGAGCGAAUUUGUUAGUCCAAGCAGCAACAAAACUUUCUUUAUAAGGUGUCAACCAUAUUUCACUCACAUACUUAACAAAAAAAGGAAUAUCAACACAAAUAGUCUCAAAGCGUUUGGGACAAACUCAGUUUCUCUAUUAGCAUACAUGAUGUUAUUCAAUAGAUCCAUGACAUGUUCAUGUCUUUCUGAUUUAACAUACUCUUUACAUUUCAUGAUAACGUUAUUUGAAAUAUGGAGCGAACAUAACAAAUGAGUUGAAUUUUGAAACACUACUUGAAUUGCAUUCAUCAACGCAAGUUCUCUGUCAGUCACCACAAUAUUCAGUAGGUAUUUUUCGGAAUAGAACAACUCUUUGAGCUUCUCCAGCGCCCAUUUGAAGUUCUCCUCCCUUCCAUAUUCCAGAUAGGAAAAGCCUACCGAAAACAUCAAUUUUAUUGACGUAACGCCAAAAAUAUCAAGUAGUGGUAGUCGAUACCUAUUUGUCUUGUAUGUACAAUAAAAGAUCAAUACCAAAUGAAACAUACUCAACAACUUCAUUGAAUCAGGAUAUGUCCAAAAGAUAUCAACACCAAUAUUUAAGUCUUCCCUCACUACAACAAACAAGACCUUAGACAGCGCUUUUUUUAGCCUUAGACAGCGCUUUAAAGCGCUGUCUAAACCUCCGCUGCUAAAGGUUUAGACAGCGCUUUUUUAAAUCUUAAAAGCGUUGUCUCUAGCCAGUGAACACAUUGCCAAUUGGUCCAUACAAGAAAUUGUGGCUUAAAUUCCUGCAAGACAAAAAAGUGUUAAUUUUCACUGCCAUUUUCAAAUCAAUAUUAUAUCAUACUCAAUGUGAUAAAGAAAUUUGAAGCAGCUCCCCUUUCAAGCUUGGAAUCAAUCAAUAUGAAUGUAACUCACAGAUGUCUUAGUUUUUUCAUGUUGAUAAUGAUGAGGGAUAUUUUGGCUCAAAUAGUUGCAAGCCAUGUUUCUGCCAUAAAGAAGGAUCAUCAGAAAAAACUCAAUGCUAUAAGCUUCCGGUAAAUCGAAAUCAUCAGAAAAGUAGGCUUACAUAUGUGUGGCAUUUGGAGGUAAUUCGUAUGGUAUUUCACCCAUUAUGCUGUUGGGAACUGAUAUCACUAAAAAACCAGAACGGAAUUAAUUAACCAAUAGAAUGGGAAGUAAAUCAUAUCUUGACAAUAUAGUAAACCAACCAUCCUGAUAAGAGCUUCAAACAUAAAACGACUUACAAUAUCUCAAAUUUUGUAGAUUAUACAGCGAGGAUCCAAGAUAUCCGGUAAGGUUCAAUCCUUGAAUUUUGCUGCAGGGGGACCGACAGGGCAAGUAUAAGGUUUCUUUAGUUGCAUUAUGGGGGAUAGUGAUAUUAUCUAACCAGAAAAAAUCAUAAUUUUGAAGUGAUAUAGUAUAGUUAGAGCCUAGGUGCAUUGAAGUGUAUAUCAUUUACGAUCCCUAUUUAAAAUCUUGAUUAUCAGUAAGAAUAUGUGCAUUUACAGAUGUAUACUGAGGAGUCAGAACAAGCUACUCCUGUCCAAUACUCCUCACAAGAUCACCACCGUUCCAUCCGUGUAGCCCUUGAGGUUGUUUAAGCUCCUGUAUAGAUCCUGGAGGGCUGUAACUGUUUAUAAAAAGAAUUGCAAAUAAUAUUUAGUUUAGUUAGAGCAUAAAAAUGAUAUAUAUGCUUCAAGUGUGAUCUAUAACAAAAUUAGUUCAUUUAAUUUGAAGUGAAGCAUGGAAUUUUUUGUUUUCUCAGGUUCAAAUCUAACCCUCAUAAAUACAUGAAUUUUCUAAAUCAACCACAUCUUCAAUUAUCUCUAUAUCAAUUUAGCAUUACUGACAAAAUCAGCUACUCUGCUUGCCUACAUUAGCACGGACACCGGAAACACGACACUGACACGUCGAGUCAAUAGUAAUUUGAAAAGAUUAAUAAAUUAAACAUAACAACAAGUAUCAGUGUCGAUUUUGCACACACUGAAACAAACACACAUUUUUUAGACGUGUCGGUGCUACAUAUCUAAAUAAUCCUAAUAGGAUAUUGUUCUUCAAUGUUAUCUUGAAAGUGGAUUUAACUCAAAGAUAUCGCAAAACCUAGUUCUGAAUUGCAGCCACAAUAAAAAGUUUUAGAAAUCCUCUGCAAUUUCGGCCGUAUUUUCUGCAUUUCCGCCAAUAUCAAGUUUACUGAACAACUGCAACCGAUUGCAAUUUAGAAAUCAUGAAGCAAAGCUAUAUUUCAGUUGAAUUUUGCAUGCACACACCAUAUCAUUUUGAAAGCAACUAACUAUCCAAACGCAAAUCUAGUGAAAAAAAGAAAUAGUUACCGUCAAAUGGAUUGGUGAAUGCGAAGCCGUAAGAAAUCAAAGUUGCUGAGAACACAAGGAAGACGAGAUUCACGUAACAAAUCAUUUCUUCUUUGUUUCUUGUUGUUACUGAUUGAAACUCUUGUUUUCUCUCAAUUUUCCUCAAAAACGAAACUGAAUCGAAUAGAAUCGAUGAAGACCAAGGUUCGAAGGGCAUGUUAUGAAGCGAGCCUGCACGGAUCCAAUCAGUAGUGAAAAACCACACAGGAUAAGAAUCAUACAUAUAAUGGGGGAAGGGUUAGGGUUUAGGGGAAGAAUCUUUCACACACAGGAUAAACAAGCGCUCUGAUUGAGGGUUGGAAGAAGGGGAGUGGAUUUGGGAGAAAGAGAAGCAAGCUCUGAUUGAGGGUUGGGAGAAGAAUGUAGGAUUUUAGGAUUUGGGAGGGAAUAACUUUUUUUUCGUGACAUGGAGGGAAUAAAGACUUUAGACAGCGCUUUUGGUUUUAAUUUUUUUUUUAAUAUAAAGACUUUAGACAGCGCUGACUAAGGUCUAUAUUUAAAAGCGCUUUCUAAAAGCCUGUCUAAGGGGGGUCUUAGACAGCGCUUUUAGAAAGCGCUGUCUAAGACCCCCCUUAGACAGCGCUCUCAUUAUUUUUUUGGAACAUUUUCCGUGUUUUAUUUUAAUUUUAACCUUAGACAGCGCUUUCUUUUAAAAGCGCUGUCUAAGAUGCGCUGUUAAAAGUCAUUUUUGGCGUAGUGCAUAUUCAUUUUUCCAAAUUAUUUUCCUUGGCAAACUUCUUUCUUGUAUGAACUCUCAAUACUUCAUGGUCUUAACCAUAUUCUUAUUCCAAUAUUGGAUUAACGUUUAACUUUUCUCUCACUUAAUUCAUCUGAUAUACCGCUCUAAAUCAUUUGGUCACUUUUCUUUUGGAAACCACGACUACCCUUUUUAUACCGAGUCCAUAAAACAUAACCACGACACAUGAUUUUGAUUUAGAUAAUCAACACUCUUCAGAGCUUCACAAGAUAAUUUACUGAUUCUUUGACUCCACGCCAUACUGACGACUCUUCUCUUAUAAAUUCUUCAGUAAUUGUGACAACUUUUAUAGUCUAUCUAGUGAUAUCCUUAUCAACUUCACUUGGUCUGAUUCUAUAUGCUACAAGCGUCUACUCCUACUGUUUCACUUUUCUCGUACUACUCCAAUAAGAUGAUACCAUUAGCAUGAGAUUGUCAUACACCAAUUCUUAUGAGUAACUAUCUCUCUGAUCCUCAUAAACUUGAUUGAGCUCUUUCACCCAUCACCUUCCACUGUGCUACUAUGAUUUCAAUAGUGGAACACCUGGGAUUCCUAGGCACUACUGGUUAGCUAACAGUCUGCAUAGAAGGUCACGCUUAUCCUCUAGAGUGCCCACCACCCAAAACAUUUCUAGGACCUCACUAACAUCCAUUAGUAGAAUAAAUUUCUUGCUGACACACCAAGGUUUAGAAUAUGACCAACACCCUCCAUAUGAUAGAUAUGCAAGUGAUAACAUGAAAUAAUAUCACAUUCUAGGACUCGACUUAAUUAAAUUAUAUUAUUAUUUACUUCAAUUUACUUCAUUUUAUUCGAUAUUACUCGGUAUUUUCUUUCUAUUUAUCUCAGGUAGCUUAUUUGAAGCACAAGUGAAAAAGGAAGAAAAUGAGGUGCAAAAAGAAAUGAAAAGAAGCAAAUUCCACCAAGCCAAAGCCCAGCCCAAAAGCAAGGCGCUGCGCCCGUGACGAGCGUCACACAAGCUGUGACGAACGUCACGCCCUACCUACUUGUGUUACGAGUGUAACACAUGGUGUGACGUACGUCACACCAUUCCCCUAUAUUUUUGGCUUCAGAAGCGCAACAAAGACGUUGAGGCCUAUUGUUACGCUUGACCAUUUGCAACGUGAAGACUCUUUACACGGAAGACCUUUGGAAACAGUUACAACAAGUGACCAAUAUAAAUAGUAGCUUUUGGCAAACCCUGCGGGACUCUCCGCUUCGUUCAAUUUUCUUCUUCCAGCCGUGCAAGCAUACCAUUAUUUUUCCUUUACUGUUUUUGCUUUUAAUUGCAAUUCUUAUUUUUACUUUCCUUUCCAGUUAAUCUUUCAGCACUUAAUUAAUUUUUCGCACAAUAGUUUCUACACCGGAAACUAUUGUGUAUCUUUUACUAGAUCUAACCUUACGUUAGACCCUAGACUUUUAUUCCUUCACUUUUAUUUUCCCGUCCGAUUGAAGAAUUCAAGAACAAAUCCAACCGGUCUGUGGUGGAGUGUUCAAGAUUGCUAUAAAUUAUUCAGGUUCUUUAAUUAUUGUUUGAAUUUAUAUAUGCUCUGCUUUACUGUUUAUUUAUAUUAUUUGCCUGAGAUGGAAUUAUUUAUGCAUGCUGAUUAUUUAGAUCUGUUAAGCAUGUCUGGCUAAUUUAUUUAGGUAUCGGUAUGUAGAGUAAGCGGAAUGAAGGAAUCAAAACUAAGUUGGUUUAAUUACAUUUAAAAAUAAAAUCACUCUUUUUACGGUCUCAAUUUACAGGUUUAAUAACAAGGUUUUGUACGAAAGUAAAAGACAUAAAGAAGUUAAAAUCAAUAGAACGAGAGUUUGAGUUUUUAACUGGACAGUGUAAAUUGGACAUUAAUUCUAGAUCAGGGCGAAAGCAAUUUUUAGAGUUAAUUAAAUUCUAAUCUNNNNNNNNNNNNNNNNNNNNNNNNNNNNNNNNNNNNNNNNNNNNNNNNNNNNNNNNNNNNNNNNNNNNNNNNNNNNNNNNNNNNNNNNNNNNNNNNNNNNNNNNNNNNNNNNNNNNNNNNNNNNNNNNNNNNNNNNNNNNNNNNNNNNNNNNNNNNNNNNNNNNNNNNNNNNNNNNNNNNNNNNNNNNNNNNNNNNNNNNNNNNNNNNNNNNNNNNNNNNNNNNNNNNNNNNNNNNNNNNNNNNNNNNNNNNNNNNNNNNNNNNNNNNNNNNNNNNNNNNNNNNNNNNNNNNNNNNNNNNNNNNNNNNNNNNNNNNNNNNNNNNNNNNNNNNNNNNNNNNNNNNNNNNNNNNNNNNNNNNNNNNNNNNNNNNNNNNNNNNNNNNNNNNNNNNNNNNNNNNNNNNNNNNNNNNNNNNNNNNNNNNNNNNNNNNNNNNNNNNNNNNNNNNNNNNNNNNNNNNNNNNNNNNNNNNNNNNNNNNNNNNNNNNNNNNNNNNNNNNNNNNNNNNNNNNNNNNNNNNNNNNNNNNNNNNNNNNNNNNNNNNNNNNNNNNNNNNNNNNNNNNNNNNNNNNNNNNNNNNNNNNNNNNNNNNNNNNNNNNNNNNNNNNNNNNNNNNNNNNNNNNNNNNNNNNNNNNNNNNNNNNNNNNNNNNNNNNNNNNNNNNNNNNNNNNNNNNNNNNNNNNNNNNNNNNNNNNNNNNNNNNNNNNNNNNNNNNNNNNNNNNNNNNNNNNNNNNNNNNNCAAACAAGACCUUAGACAGCGCUUUUUUUAGCCUUAGACAGCGCUUUAAAGCGCUGUCUAAACCUCCGCUGCUAAAGGUUUAGACAGCGCUUUUUUAAAUCUUAAAAGCGCUGUCUAAGCCCCCCCCCCCUUAGACAGCGCUUUGGCCAAAAGCGCUUUAUAAGACCCUCUUAUUUUAAAUUUUUAGGUAUACCUUAGACAGCGCGCUUUUGAAAACGCUGUCUAAGCCCCACCCCCUUAGACAGCGCUUUGGCCAAAAGCGCUUUCUAAGACCCUCCUAUUUAAUUUCUUUUAGGUAUACCUUAGACAGCGCUUUUCAAAAAGCGCUGUCUAAGCCCCCCCUUAGACAGCGCUUUUUUACAAAGCGCUGUCAUCUCUCCGCGCUUUCAUUAUUUUUUUGGAACAUUUUCCGUGUUUUAUUUUAAUUUUAACCUUAGACAGCGCUUUCUUUUAAAAGCGCUGUCUAAGAUGCGCUGUUAAAAGUCAUUUUUGGCGUAGUGCCUAUUUCUUGUCCAACACAUAUAUUCUUCUAUAUUAAUAAGAGUCAACAACAUUUGAAUUUCCGUCAAUGGACCUCUCUUAUUCAAUUUAUAUGUAUCUCUAGCUCUAUACACUUGGGUAACACUAGUGAGGUUUUCCGGAUCUUUUCUUUCGAGUGUUCUUGCUAAUUUACCCUUCACUUUUGAAGGAUAAGUGUUCUUGCUCUAUAAAAUUGCCGAUCAUUAUGGCCUAGUUUGUUGUUUCCAUAUCAGUACCUAGUUUAGAUGGAUACUUGAGUUUUACAUUCCUUAUUUUGUCUAUUUUCACACCAGUACCUAGUUUAUAAUACUGAUCAUUAUGACCUUGUGAUUGAAUCAUGCCGAUCAUUAUUCUUUUCAUCUCCCAUUGCACUAAAAAUUGAUUCAUGCAUCUAUUUAUUCUAAUUUUACAUUCCUUUGAAGCAUUAAUUCACUAUUUGUUUUCUUUUUCAAAUCAAAAUAAGUUAUUCCAUAUCAAACUUAGUAGAAAUCACAUUUGUUUCAAUAUAAUUUGAAUGUACUCGUUAGCAUUUCAUCAUUGGUUAGUUUUUUAAAACUUAAUAUAUUUAUCAGGGGUUAUAAACAUUUGUAAUUUGUUUUUAAAUUAAGUGUAAAAUAAAUAAUGACAGUUUGAAACCAUCGCAAUAAGCAAUCAAAUCAAAACACAUAAUAAAAUUCAUGACAAUUUGAAACUAUUUCAAAUAACUAAUUAAGGAGGUUCGCUACCCGUUGCAAAUAAUAACGACAGUUGGUAUGGAUGUUUUUGCAACAGUCGCACUACAUACUGAUGACACAUGCUUCUGAGGCUUAACCAAAACCGUUGCGACAUUACUGUUGUGGUGGUUCAAACCGCCGUAACUUUCCAAAAUUACUGUCGUAACUUGCCAUUUUUCAUGAGUACGCCUCCACCUUUUAAUGGUGAAAGGUUUGAUACAUGUAAAAAUAGAUUAAAAACAUUUUUUGAAGCUAUUGAUUUUGAAUUAUGGAAUUUUGUUAUAAAUGAUAUGUUUGAUUAUACUCUUUUAUUAAUAGUGAAGUAGUAAAUAAGCCUAAUAAUCUAUGGACUAAAAGAGAUAAGAGAAAAAUCAAAUUAAGUUUUAAAUCUAAGUAUUUGAUGAUAAGUGCAUUAAGAACUAGAGAGUACAUCUAUUUUUAACUGUAAUACUGACAAGGAAUUAUGUGACACUUUUGAAAUGAUACGUCGAGAUCAAGAGAGGGGGAAUAUACCUAUUCAAGAAAAUAAGACACCAUGUAAAAGUGAAGGUUACCUUCAAAGGAGAGUUAUCAAACAUUUCAAUAUUUAAAAUCUAUUUCACAAACUCUAUUUAAAAAAAAUAUUAGAUUUAAGAAUUGGUAUCAGAAGUCUAACUCAUUACUUGAUUCCAAAGGUAGAAAACUUGUGAUGAAUUUCGUGAAAAAUCCAUGAAGGAGGAGAUCUUCUUGAAACUUGAAGAGUUGAGUUAUUUAUUAAAAGAUGAAAAUAAGAAUUCGAUAAUAGUAAUAAUAAUAUAAUAAUAUGCAUCUUCAGAGCUAUAUGAAGAAAAUUUUGAAAGAACAACACCAUAAGUAUCAUUUGAAGGAAAUAUCACUGUGUAUGAAAGAUCCUAUGAAGAAUCAACAUCCGAAAGAUUUUUGGAAGUAUCACCAUUGGGAAGAUCAUUUGGAGAAUUGUUAUAUCAAGAGAUUCUCCUAAAGCAUAUUUAAAUAGAUAAAAGAAAGAUGAAGAGGAACAUGUGUGCUUCAAAGCUACCUACGAAGAAUAUGAAAUCGAGAUAACUACUCUCUCCUAGAUGAAAAUGUUUAAAUCAAGUGUUAAGGUUAGUAAGAAAAUUGAGAAAUUAGAAAGAUAUAUCGUAGAAUUUAAAGAUCAUAUUAAAUUUCUUGAAAAUAGUAAUGAAAUGAUUGGAAAUGAAUUAGUUGAUUUUAUAAGGCAAUCAUUAAAAUCUAGCAAAUAUGAAACCAAUUAUUUUUUUUGAAAAAUGAAGUCAAUAGUUUGAAUGAAACCCUAAGUAAAUUUACAAAGGACAAAGAAAAUUUAGAUUUAAUCUUAUGGAAUCAAAGGGCUUCAUAUAAUAAAAAAGGAUUAGGUUAUCAACCUAAUAAAUUAUUUUUAGAAAAGGGGUGAAAACCAAGAGAAAGGGAUGCAUAAAACAAGACAAGGAUCAAACCAUCUCAUAGGACAAAACAAACCAAUGAAGCUGAAAUAUCCUCAUUUAAUCGAUUAAAUCUAAAUGGAUAAUUGAUUAAAGAUUAAAUAUUCUUCUAAUCCAAUUCUUUAAAGAAAAAAUAAAUGGAUUAAGAAAUCACAUCCUUAAUUAAAUCUUCAGCAAAUCCUCAUUAAAUUUAUUCGCAAUCAAAAAGCACCGCGAAAGCCGCACACGUAUCAUGAUCGUAAUAAACAACACGCUCUCUUUGAAAACCUUUCAUAGAGAAAGGAAACAAAGGAGAAAUAGGGUUCCAUUCCGAAGAUGAACCACUAAUAUCCUUAAAAUUUCCACUAAACCCUAAAGGGAUAUACCCAAAGCUACAUAACAAACUACCAUUUUCACUCAACUCUGGUGGUGACCGUACCACCACCGCAUGAAACCCAUUCCUACAAUUCUGACACCGGAGUGUACACUCCUGAUAAACAUUAGGAUACUCAAACAUUGCAUGACAUUAAGGGCACACCAUCCAAAAGCUUUUAGCUUCAGUGUCAGCAGGCUUAGGCUCAGUCUGCUCGUCAACAUUGCUUUGACUCGGCCCAGUCUGCUCGUCGACAUUGUGCCGACUCUGCCUCGACCCAUGGUUUUGUCCCUCGGCAAGUACGUCAUAUUGAUUGGAAGACCUAGGGUUGUUCCUAUGUUGAAGGACAUGCUUUUGAUUGACCUAAACUGGAGGAGGAGGUUGAAUAGGUUGUGGUUGCGGUUUCGGAUUUGGUGGUGGUGGUGGUUGUGAUGGCGAUUGAAUAGGUUGCGAUUGAAUAGGUUGGUGGUAGUCGCGUCAUUGAAUUAAGUUUUGAAUUGAUUUGUUUUUUGCAUGCAUAAUUCAAUUAUUUGAAUUUGAGUUUGAUCAUGAUACUUUUAGUCAAUUGAUUGAGUUAGUGAAACGAAAACUAUAUGUGGUGUUGGUUCAAGUUAGGUUGAAAGGAAAAUCUUAAAGUGUUUUGAAAAUCAUGAAAAAUUGAGAUUUUAUAUGCAUGACCCGAAUCAUGUACAUAUCCUAACUAAAAUCAAAUUGAACAGAGGCGAACAAAAACUUUUCAAAACCUAUAGCUCGAAUCACACUUUUAACUUGAUUCGAAUCGGGUUCAGGAGUCGGUUAUACGAGGGAAAUGUAUUAGCACCCUUCACAUCCGUUGUAUUCAAUGGGAAUCAUUUAGUUAGUUUUGUGUGAGGUGUUAGCUUAAAAAUGUUUGUGCUUACUCUUAUUUAUUCAUUGCUGAAAGAAAAUGAAGUUCAAAAUGGUUUUUUUAAUAGGGUGUUUAACGAGACGCUGAAUAUCGCUCUACGUCCUCUACUGUGAUGAGGAAUUCAAAGCUACGUAGUUAUUUGUAGAAAAUGAUUGUUUGUUGGUUUAUUUUAGCGAAAGAUGUUUAUGUCGCAUUCUAGAAGUUAAACAUUUCUUAUAUAAUCGCGCAUGAGAGACAUAAGCGUUUAUUUGAAUCAUGGUAGAAUGUAUAAAAUAUCAUUCAUUUAAGAAAAAGUUUGCGGUCAUACUAGUGUGGAAAAAGAUUGGUUUAAUUGGUUGAAAUGGUUUUUAAGUAGAUGACGAGCAUUAAAAAAAUAAGCUCUACAACAAAUAUCCAAUACUCGGGGAAGAAAGAGGCCUACUUAGUGCAUUUUUAGCUUGAAUUUGAUUUGAAAAUUUGUGCAUCAAGCUCUUCCAAUCAAUUUCCUUAUAAGGUGUCAAUCGAAUGGACUUACCUCAGUUAGCCUCCUUGGUGCAUUUUAUGUCGUGUGAUGGAUUUUGUGGUUCUUGUACACCCCAGUUCAGUUUUAUUUGCACCUAAUUUCGAUGAAACACUUAGAAACUCCUCUUUUUGGUUAGUGGACAUCAUUUAUCGAGAUGCGCAAAAUUAAAAACACUAUUUUUAAAGAUUAAUCGAAUUUUUUCUGAUCAUUUCAAUCAUAAAAAAAUGUACUACCUCAAGUAUCAAAAGCACAUCCCAGUGAUCGAUUACAUAUUACUCACCAAUGAUAUUUUACAUUGGUUGUAAAGGUUAAACUCACAACCUCUUAGUAUGUGAGACAACUCCUUACCAACUGAGUCAACCUUCAUUAGUGUUGGAUAGCGAUGAAUACAGGUUGGAUUGAACUUUGUUUGGUCUAAUCCGUUAUCCAAUUCGUUCAAACUUUAAUGAGUUGAGUUCAUUGUCCAACCCAAAAUUUCAAAAUCAAACCAAACAAAAUUGACCUGUUCAUUUAUGAGUUGGAUUAGGUUGAAUUUGUGGGUUGUGUUUCAAAUAAAAAAUAAUUUUUUAAAUAAUUUUUUUCAAUUAUAAAAAAAUAAUAACACAAUUCGAUAAAAUUAUACUUAUUUGUAACACUCAACUUGUAUGAAACACAUUAUGUAAUGUCCAUAAAAUUCAUCCCGUUGAUAAUAGUAGAAAAUUUCACAAAACACCUAAAUAAGAUACGUAACGUGAAAAUUAUACAAAAUUAAAUUAUAAAUAAUAUUUAAUCUUAGAAUUUUUUAAAUUCAUGGUCUAGUUGUAAUAGUAUUGAUGUUAAAUAGAUGUAUUAUUUUGGAAAAAUUAUGAUUAAUACUGAUUAUUGUGAAUCGAGUUGGAUAUACCCAUAAAUAAGCAAGUUCGAAUAAUUUAUGAAUUUGUUCAAUUUAAAUCAAUAGAUUUACGGGUUAACUCACAUCAAUGAACACUCCUAUAAAUAAUUUUAAACUUGUGGUUGGACGAUGCAUUUUAUAAAUUGAAAUUUAUGUAUUUAUUUUUUCAUUUGAUAGCAGCCAUACAAUAGUAUGUGUACAUAAAUUUGUACAAAGACAUAUAUGCUAUACUCCGCAGCAACAUAGGGCUCCUUGACAAGCGCUACGGAAAGUGAUACCCUUUUGUGCACAACUCUUAAUACACUCUUGAGGAUGAUCUGGACACAAAUCAGGUCGUUUCUCACAGUCUUGUGGCGAAGGAGCGUCAUUUAAUCUUUCUUUUGUUCCAAUCACUUUAUAUGUGCCUACAAAUAUAUAAAAAUUAAUACCAGAGUUAUUGUUUAUAUACUUUGAUAGAGAUACAAUUAUACGAUCAAUUAUUUUACAUCAAAAUUUAAAUUAAAUUAACGUAGAAAAAUAACAUGUAAAUUUAAGGAUACCUUGAGUCAGUACGGAAACGAUGCACACAAUUACAAUGAAAAGAUACAUACGAUUGGUAGGGAUUGCCAUGUUUUCAGUUUUCAGUUUUCAAUGAAAAUCAACAAACACCUAGGGACUAUUUAUUGAGACAAAUGAGAAUAGUUAUGGAAAUAAAUCUUAAUAGUUUCUUUCAGUCAAAAAGAAAUAGUUUAUCAUUUCAUUUUUCUUAAUUUUAAUUUUUUAUGAUAAAUUAAUGCAUUAAUUUGGUAAAUAAUAAUAAUAAAUUCAUUCAAUUUUAACAAAAUAUAAUUUCUCCUAUUGAGUCAACAAAAAUUAUUGUAUUUCGUUCGUAUGUUAAACCAAAUACAAUAAAAAAAUCAAAUACAUCAAAUUUUGUUGAUUCUAAUAUCUCUUACAAAAAAAUAUUCAUAGUAUCAAAAAUUUAUUUUCAUUUUUAAUAGAUUUAAUAUAUUGAUUAAUUUGAGUUAUUUAGUGUAACUUGUCAAAAUUUAAAUUUGUAAAAAAUGAGUUAAAAAUAAAAUAAUUUAUUUUGAAUUUAAGUAAUAUGCAUUAUCAGUGUAAAAUAGUUUUAUAUUAUCAUCUAAUAAAAAAUUAAAAAUUUGUCAUAUCAUUAAAAUAAUUUAAAAUUUAAAUGUGAGUUGAUGUAAUACACGUCACUGAUUGAUUUUGUAUAAUUAUACCAUAUUGACGAUACAUAUUCUAUUUUCUCAUAUAUUAAUUUAAAAUUGGUUUAAAAUGUUAAUUUAUUUUAAAAUAAAAUCAAGUAGAAUUAUAAAAUUAUAUUGUUUGAUUGGUGAAAAAAUAUCAAUAUUUAACUAAAUUCAAAGAUCCCAGACUGUUCACCUUUAAUAAAUUCAGUCAAAUGCUAAGGAAAAAUUCAAUUUAAUUUUCAUUUAGUGACUUACUAAAUUAUGUUCAAAAAUCAAUAAUAUCUUUGACCAAAAAGCUCAGUAAAACGUUAAAAUAUUCCGGAUAUGCAUCUCUAGAUUAUUUUGGAGGUUAAAUCGCGUCAGAUUCCUUUCCUUCCCCAUUUUUCAUUUUACUCAAACUCAACUUCAAACUCUCUCAACUUUUUUUCUCUACACCAAGUCAAAACUCAAUCAACAAGGCUCAAGGAAACUUCAAUCAACAUCUGUAACACCAGAACAACAUUAGAAACAUCAAUUUCGUAUGUUUUUUGAGUUUCUAUGUAAAUGAGUAAAAAUCAUUGAUUAAGGUUAGAAAUGAGUAAAAAUAUCAAAUUUAAGAUAAUUUAGACAUAGUGCAUUAGACGUGGGUUGACUAAAAAGAAUGAUCAAAACAUGUUUUUUGAGACUUCAUGGGGUACAUUGACGCCAUUAACGCAACUUCUGAGUUGUAUAAAAUUCUAGAGAUGCAUCUCUAGAAUUUUUCAGCGUUUUAGUUUCCCAGAUUCCAGUGGAAUUUUCUCAGUACUUUUUUAAAAAAAAAUCUUGCUUGUGGUGUUGUUUGCCUCACUAGUUUUCCGCUUUACUUUAACUUACAUGAAUAAUGGAUGAUAGAUACGAUAGACUGAGGCACGAAAGAGUUGCUCAACACACAUCAGUGCAACGGAAGAAAAGUCAACAGGUUUCAGAGGCUCCUAGUCCCUCUGGUAAUGCAGAACUAUCUACUUAUGGGGCCCGUGCUACCCCUCAUGUCACUUAAUCUUCUUCUUCCCUUAGGAGGCGCGAUUUACCAUCUGACGCAUUACUCCCUCCAUUCUUCUGCAGGCACCAGGUACCCGAUUCACCAGUGCCACCUCCUAAUGUAUAUGCUUUUGAGUUUGUGCCACCUCUUACUCCUGAUGUUGUUGAUCCAAUGCCACCUUUAGUGGUUGCGGGUGCUGAGCCAGAGGCAUUUGGAGGAGGCUUUUUUGAUUUGUCAUUACUGCCUCUGUACCUAGACCAUAUUGCCAGACAUAUAUGGGAAGGAGAGGUAGCAUUAGUUCAAUUCAUUCUUUUUUUAUUUACGUUAAUUUUAAUUGACAAAUGUCUGACAUUGCUUUUUUUUUCAUAAGCGUGAUCCGCAGAAGUUUAUUAACAACAUGCGAAAGAUUAUUGGCUUGCCUUAUCCGAAUGAUGAUUGAUUUUAGGGGGUUUUGUCCUUAUUUGGCCUGAAGGAGUUGUGCAUGAUCGGUUAUACUACGGUAAACCACGGGAUGCUUAAUGCAUCCGUGGAUAGAUAGCACUCAGAGACCUCAUCAUUUCAUCUCCCGCUUGGUGAGAUGACUAUCACACUCGACGAUGUCUCGUAUUUGUAACAUCUUCCUAUUGGGGGGAGACUCCUAGAUCAUGGGAGGAUUACCAAAGACGAGACAUAUCAGAAGAUGGUAGGCUAUCUAGGGGCUAACCCAAGGGAGGAGAAUGAGGAGUUGGAUAGGAUCAGGGGCGCUCAUGCUAGGUAUGAAUACCUGAAGAAGAUAUAUACAGUUGAGCUACAUAGAGCAUAUCAGGCCACAAGUGAUGAUGAGCAGGUGGGGCUCAACAUAGCGCAUGCUAUGAGAGCAUACAUGCUAUAUUUGGUUGGCACUGUCAUUUUUUUUGGACAUGAGUGCCGCUUAAAAAAGAAUAUAUUAGUUUGAACAUAUUAUAUUAUUUUAAUUUUCAUUUUGAAAAUAGUUUACUUUUGAGUUCCAUUUUAAAAAUAAUAUACUUUUUAAGUUCCGUUUUUUAUGUUCAAAUAAUAUACUUUUAAGUUCCAUUUUAAAAAUAAUAUAUUUUUAUGUUCAAAAAGUUAAUAUACUUUUAAGUUCCAUUUUAAAAUACUAUACUUUUAUGUUCAAAAAGUUAAUAUGCUUUUAAGUUAAAAUGUCUAUUUUCUGAUUUAAGAAAAUAAUAUAUUUUGAACGGAAUCUUUUAAAAUCUAUUGUUUAAGAUAUUUUAAUAUUUUAACUUAAAAAAAUAUCUACAUUGAAAAAAUGUUAAUGUCUCUAUAACAAUCCAACUUUCUGAUAGGUACAAUCUCAAAUAUUAAAUCGAUUGAAAUAUUAAAGGAUAAUUUAUUUUAUGAGUGUAAGAGAUUUUUUAUUAGCAUUAUAGUAUUAGCUGGCUUCUUUUGGUAAGUUUUUUAUUUUUAAUUUUUACUAUGAAAAAAGUGUCAGUACAAAAUGUAAACAAAAUCGACAAAAUACACGUUUUUUUAUUUUUUUAUUUUUAAUUUUUACUAUGAAAAAAGUGUCAGUACAAAAUGUAAACAAAAUCGACAAAAUACACGUUUUUUUACUCAAGUGCAAAAUAAAAAAGACAUCAAAAAAAGAGAUAAUUCUGACGCAUUCAACAAAAAUUUAAAUGUUUUGAUUUAUUUACUUUUACAAAUUAAGAAAAGAAAAAAUAAGAAAAAAAAUAUUUUUUUUGUUAAUGCAAUAUUUGUAAUAAUAUACAAUUUUAAAAAGUAAAAAUAAAACUAUGAGUAAAAUAGAAAUGUGCAUAUUAAACAAUGUUUUUUUUUUCAUUUUGUCAUCUCAAACAGUUUCCAAAAUAAGAUUAGAAAAAUGUUUUAAAUUACUUUCUCUUCAAUUUAUUUAAAAAAUUAUUUAUAAAAUAUAUUUUAAUAACUAAAAAGAUAAUCUCAUUCAAACAAAUUGUAAACUUUUUAAAUCUUAAUUUAAUGACGCAAAAUACAAAUACAUUAUUUUUAAUCAUAGUAGGAAAAAGGGUUUUUGCAGAUCAAAAGAAAAGAGAAAAAAUGAAAGAACUUUAAAUUAUGAUUAUAAAUAAAUUAAUAUUUUAAAAGAAUCUAAUAUAUUUAUAAAUAAAUGUGUACACAGAGGAAUACUAGAGCACUUAUACCCACUCAAUUUUGCUAAAAACUAUCGUAUUUAAUUAAUUUCGUUAAUAAUUAUCUUACAUAAUUUUGAAUAAGUGAAUCCAAACACGAGAGAUGAUGAAUUGUGAAAUGCACAAAUCAUAAUUAAUAAAAAAAGUUUACUUUUAGAAUAGUUUAUGUUAGUUCAGAGGUAAAUGCAGUGGAAACUAGAAAGAAGAAAAUUGUAAAAUCUCACCUCAUUUCUAAGCCUGGCAUUUACAAUGAGAUAGUAUCAAUAUUAAUAUGUUUGAGAACAUAGUUGGCAAUUUGGAAGAACCUGAGGGGGGGCAAUUGUGUAUCUUUCAUAAUCAAGUAUAAAAGUAAAAGAAUUCCUCUCAUUUUCAUCUUGAGAAUGUGUGUGUAAGAGAGAGAGGUAAAUGAGUAUCAAGUUCAUAAUCGUCUUGCAUGUAGAAGUGAAGAGAAUUUAUUGAAUGUAGAAGUAAAUAAUGCUUCUUUUCUAACUUAGAAAAGAAGGAAAUGGAUCAAGGAUCAUCAUCAAUCCUCUCAUCAUCUUUAGUUCAUAAUCGUCUUGCAUGUAGAAGUGAAGAGAAUUUAUUGAAUGUAGAAGUAAAUAAUGCUUCUUUUCUAACUUAGAAAAGAAGGAAAUGGAUCAAGGAUCAUCAUCAAUCCUCUCAUCAUCUUCAUCAAAUUUAGAACCGACUCUUGAGGUGAGGUUCUUUAGAACUUAAUUUUGGAUAGAGAAAACUAGGAUGAAAUGCAUGUUGGCUUUUAAGUUGAAAUAGACAUGAUUGAUUUUGACUACAUGUUGAAUGUGUGAUGGUUGAAUGAGAUACCAUGUAUUUCUAUGAUGAAUAUGUGAAAUAAUGUUUGUGAUUGUGUUCAAUUGAUACCACACGGUUGCAUGAUGAAUCUAUGUUAUAUUUGAAUCUUGUGUGUUGGAUAAUUGUUCUUCUUGAAUGUUUUGUGUGUUUUUAGAAAAAUUACUUCGGUAAGAUCUUUUUACGGCCACCCCAUAACACUUUGUGAUCAAAUGGUAAAAAGUAUGGAAAAAUUAGAGCCAUAAUACUUUGUAAUAUUCAUCUUGUAAUACUAGCUGCCUAGAAACAUAGUAGCUUGUAAUCUGCAUAUUUUGAGCUAGGAAACUCAAAUUGAGGGGAGGUCAACUGUGUUAGAAAGCAAACAUAAAUAUACAAAUAAUUGCACAACUUUUAUGACCAUUAGGUGUCAACCCUAAUUGGUGGUACUCAAAUGGUAAUACUUAUGAUAUGAUGUAUUGUGGAUCUGAAUGAUCUAAUGGACAUACGCCUUGAUUUCGUUCUAUGUUAUGGAUCAGAAUAAUUCAAGGGACCUAAUCCUUGAUUCUAUUCUAUAUUAUGUUAUGGAAAUAGAAUAGACAAAGCCCCUACAUCUUGAUGUUAUUCUAUGACAUGUUAUGAAUUUGAUGAUCAAAUGGAGCUACGCCUUGACUUGAGUACUAGACAAAGCCCCUACAUCUUGAUGUUAUUCUAUGACAUGUUAUGAAUUUGAUGAUCAAAUGGAGCUACGCCUUGACUUGAGUACAUGUUAUGAAUAUGAUGAUAAAUGGACCUACGCCUUGACAUCAAUACAUGUUAUGAAGCUGGUGAUAUGGGAAUCUACGCCUUGACUUUAGUACAUGUUAUGAUGGAUGGAGAUCAGGGGACCCACACCUUAACUUUCUUGGACAUGUGACUUCACAUACAAGAGGGAGUGAAUUGUGUGUUUCAGAAAAAUUUGAUUUUAAAUUUUUUAUAGAAUUAAUUUCAAAGUUUAAAAAAAAAUAGAAAAGUUUUGAAAGUGAUAAGUGGGAAAUAAAAUUCAUAUGGUAAAUUCAAGAAAGUAAAAGUUAAGAGUAAAGAGAAAAUACCAUAAGUUAUAGAGGUUCGGAUAAAAGAAAAAGACAUAAUCCUCUCCAAGAUUUGUUCCUGAGAGUAUCCAAUAAACUUAAGAUCUUUUAUUAGGUUGAACUCUUGAACCCUUUUAUACAAGAAAAAUGAAGUUUGUGGCUAACUUCCACCAAAACAAUAAACGCGAAGAGAAUCAUUGAGUCUUCCAUUUAAAUAAUGGUUCGAAGCGGUUAGUCUCCUUUCCACAAGAAACUUAGAGCGAUUAGUCUUCAAGCUUCAAACCAAUAUUCUACAUGUGUUGAUCUUGAACCUGGGUGAGCAUUUAACACCAGGAUGAACUCACGAACCUAGAAAAUUUUAUAUCAGACUGAUCUCCAACCUUAGGAAGAUGAUAUUUAUCCUUAGCCUGAUCUCGAACCGAAUGAAGUCUUUUGAAUGGCCUAAGCCUUUGAACCGAACGAGUUACUUAAUAAUUAAAUCCCCAAAACCAAAAUUUCAAUGGUUUUAGCUUUGAACCCCAAUAAAUAAUCCCUAAAUGGAUGAAAUAAUCCCAAUAAAAAUAUCUUAGAGAGAGAGAGUGUGUGUGUAAAGAGUAAGGAGUGAAAGAUCAUGUAUCUGGAUGUGGAAAUAUGUGGGAAGGUAUAUUUAUUUAUAGGCUAGAGGUUGACACAAAAAAGGAAAAUCUUUGUGGUCAAAAUUAAUGAUCCAAUCGAUUGGGUGGCCUAAAAACAGUCAUUUAGUUUGUUUUAAAAGGAAAGAAAAGACCUAUGUUUAAGGCACAUUUUUCACUGACCCAAUCGAUUGGGUGAAGUGUCAAUCAAUUGGCAGGAACAAAAAUUUCCCCAUAAAUUUUCUGACAGUUCCUAAAUCAUCUAGCAUGACUUCAUGACUUCAAUACAUAAGCCAAUAUCCAAAUACUCGGGGAAGAAAGAGGCCUACGCUCAAUUAAUCCUUUUUCAUCCAAUUUUUUUGUGAAAGAUGUUAGGAGAAUUUAGUCAUAGUUCCUUAACAUAAGACGAGUAUUCAAAAAGCGAGCUCUACAGCUAGUAUCCAAACACUAUGAGAAGAAAGAGGCCUAUGACCAAUUAAUCUUCUUUCAUCUAUGAAAGAAUAAAUUAAAUUUGGUUGAUUAUCAUGUUUUAGUUCGGAAGACGAGUGUUGAAAAAGCAAUCUCUACAACUAGUAUCCAAAUAAUCGGGAAAGAAAGAGGCAUACGCCCAAUUAAUCCUUUUUCAUCCGGUUUAUUUGAGAAAAAUAUUUUUGAAGCGCUUUGAAUGAGUUUGAAAAAGAACUUGAUGUUGAUCAAAUGUUUCCCCACUUUUUUUCUAAAAGAUUUAUUUGGGACCUUUUCUUAUAGGUCUGACAUGUUUGAUGAUAUGGUUUAUGACUUUUUAAGAGGCUUGAAUCCAUGUACUAAGGUUGAAUCACCUUCUUCCCUAGAAUCAUAAUUUUCUCUUAUUUCUUUCUAUUUAUCAAUCCAGCAGUGAACACAAACCUUCCUCGUGCUUCUCUAGGUUUUUGGCUUGAGGAGGCCAUGAUGAAGCUUAUGGAAAGUCUUGAGUGUAUUCUUCUUACGAUCUUCUCUAAUUAGAACUCGUGCAAGAAAUAGUGAGAGUGCAUACAUAUUUAUAAUGCGUCUUCUGACAUUUAGAUAGUGUAUUUCUGGUAAGAAAACAAUGAGGGUUGUUCUCAUUGAAAAUCAAAUCGAAAUUAUUCAAAAUUGAGUGCGCCAAUCGAUUGGUUAACGACCCCAAUGAAUUGAUUAAUCAGGUCUUUCUUGAUUUUAAAUGUUCAUCAUCAAUUAUGGGAUUUGAUUAGCUUGCAACAUGCAUUUAGCUUGGAUUCGAUUUGAAAAUAUGCGCGUCAAGCUCUUCCAAUUAAUUUUCUUAAGGUGUCAAUCGAAUGGACUUACGUCAAUUAACCUCCUUGGUGCAUUUUAGGCCUUGUGCCAAAUUUUGUUGCUUUUCUACACUCCGAUUAAGUUUUAUUUGCACUUCAUUUCUAUGAAACACUUAGAAACUCCUCUUUUUGGUUAGUGGACAUCAUUUAUCGAGAUGCGCAAAAUCAAAACCACCAUUUUUAAAGAUUAAUCGAAUUUUUCUGAUCAUUUCAAUCAUAAAACAAUGUACUACCUCAUAUAUCAAAAACACAUCCUAGUGAUUAGUUACAUAUUACUCACCAAUGAUAUUUUACAUUGAUUGUAGAGGUUAAACUCACAACCUCUUAGUAUGUGAUUCUCCUUACCAACUGAGUCAACCUUCAUUAGUGUUGGAUAGCGAUGAAUACAGGUUGGAUUGAACUUUGUUUGUUCUAAUCCAUUAUCCAAUCCGUUCAAACUUUAAUGAGUAAAGUUCAUCGUCAAACCCAAAAUUUCAAAAUCAAAUCAAACAAAAUCGAUCUGUUCAUUUAUGAGUUGGGUUAGGUUGAGUUUGUGAGUUGAGUUUCAAAUAAAAAAUAUUUUUUGUCAAUUAUAAAAAAAUAAUAACACAAUUCGAUAAAAUUACACUCAUUUGUAACACUCAACUUGUAUGAAACACAUUAUAUAAUGUCCAUAAAAUUCAUCCACUUAAUAUUAGUAGACAAUUUCACAAAACACCUUAUUUUAAUAAAAUAUAUAAUGUGAAAAUGAUAUAAAAUGAAAUCAGAUACAAUAUUUAAUCUUAGAAUUAUUUAAGUUCAUGGUCUAGUAGUAAUAGUGUUGAUGUUAAAUAGAUAUAUUUUUUAGAAAAAAUUGUGAAUAGUACUGAUUAUUGUGAAUUGAGUUGGACAUACCCGUAAAUAAGCGAGUUUGAAUAAUUUGUGAGUUUGUUCAAUUUGAAUCAAUAAAUUUGCACGUUAACUCACAUCAACGAACACCUUAUAAUUGGAUGUCUUCUUUUGAUGGAGAAACAAAAUGAAUAAUUUUAAACUUGUGGUUGGACGAUGCAUUUUAUAAACUGAAAUUUAUGUAUUUAUUUUUUCAUUUGAUAGCAGCCAUACAAUAGUAUGUGUACAUAAAUUUGUACAAAGACAUAUAUGCUAUAUUCCGCAACAACAUAGGGCUCCUUGACAAGCGCUACGGAAAGUGAUACCCUUUUGUGCACAACUCUUAAUACACUCUUGAGGAUGAUCUGGACACAAAUCAGGUCGUUUCUCACAGUCUUGUGGCUAAGGAGCGUCAUUUAAUCUUUCUUUUGUUCCAAUCACUUUAUAUGUGCC